GAGAAAACACUUCCAUUUUUCUAGAUAGAGCUUUGAGCCGCAACAUCCGCCUUCCGCUCUUGCAAUGGCUUCCAGCUCCGUGCUUAAGAUGGCCGCCAUUUUCGUGCUGGCCGUAUUCGCCGGCCAGGCACUGAUGGCUACGCCGGCGAUGGCAGAAGGACUAGGUUACCGACACAACCUUUUGGAGAAGUACGAUGAGACGCAAUGUCGCGGAUACGCCACAUGCAAUAUUGUAUGCUUCUACCAAGUUUUUCAAGUCUGCAUCAUCUACAGCCCUGUUGCAUUCUGCAACACUUGGGCGUUUGGGUUCUGCAAGGACAAGAGAUACUGAGGCAUAAAUAACAGUGCAGCUCCUUUUGGGAUGCAUGCACAACUACACGAGCAACUCACCUCAUCAGUGUCAACUAUUAUUGUUCCUUCGUUAUUGGCGCUGUGCGUCGUAAGAGUCCUAAUAUGUUCCUCCCUUUAUUUCCAACUAUCAUGUAUCAGUGGCUUAACCAACUAUUUAAUUCCUAUAUUGUCUGUCAUCAUGGUACUUGUUCAACUAAAAAUCCCCCGUCGAAUACAAAUGUAUGUGUCGUGUGACUAUAAAAUGGUUCCGCCACUGCAACAUUUUUCAGUCCAUGAUGGCCAUAUAAGCAUGCUCUUUCCACCCUUACCCAUGAAUCUUUUUUCAUGAAUGACCAUUCGUUUGACAGAUUUGGCAUGUGGUUCGACAAAAUGCCAUAAAAAAUAAAGGAUGCAAAAAUAUAAUAAGGGAGCUUGAAGCUGAAUUGGCACUAACCUUGUAAAUACUUUUCGUAGUGGACAAGACAAAUACUACAUAGGCCAUCGCCACACCCAGUUUCGCACGAUCAUCGCAGAUGAUGCGAUGUUUGACAACAUAUACAUUCUAAACGGACACUCAGGGCCCACAAGGCAUAGAGGGGGAGGUCAUAAGCGCCUAUACCGUAAAAUAGAUUUUCGACGGAAUCAAAAAGACAUAUCUGGUAGAAUCGUAACCAUAGAAUACGACCCUAAUCGAAAUGCAUACAUUUGUCUCAUAGGGUGACCAGCGUUGCUUCCAUGUUAAUCCGGGCCCAUAGGGUACGAAAGUUUCUCCUUCUGUGAGUCCCUAUCACGUGGAACCCACAUCAACUGCCGUGAUUGCAUUGGCUUUCAGGGACCGAAUACAUCGAAUCGGGGUUUUCGAGCGGUCUCUCCUUAUUUACCUUGAGUACCCCAAACCCAUUGAGGUCACUUGCUGACGCUCUCUAGUAGUCGUCCAGGUGCUUGGGUCAUCCUUCUUCUGGCUAGUCGCUUUGGCAUCGAUCCUUUGGACAUUUGCUUCAAUCCCCCAAGAACGUCUUUCACUGCCCCUACCACAGAUGCUACCGAAAAGAGUUCCGACAUUGAGCAAGUAUUUUCUUGGACUAUCCCGAUCAAACAUCUCUCAUGCCUCAUUCUACCUUUGAAAACUGAAAUUAUAUCCAGGUACGAUAGAUCCGUGGGAAGUCAUUCCUUUGCCUCAGAAAUCCGCAAUUCCCAGAUGAAAAAUCCUAUUUCAAGCUCCUCUAGUUUCUUAAACCAGCACUAUUUCCUUUUCCAGCAGGGAUACUCCUGAAAAAGGGCUUCCGUUCAAAGUGGAAAGAAAGAGACCUGUCCGUUCUCCCUAUUUGCCUAGCGGUUAAGUAGAAUGUAGGGCCCCUCCUAGGCCACGCAACCAAGAGUCACUUGUCGAAAGUUGACCAGGAAGACAAUAACUAUUGAGGCUGGAAUAGAUAGAUGACACUCUAAAAUGUUUCACCUUCUUCUAUGGUCAUUCUUAUUUUCAUGAAGCUCACAUGUAAGCUUCGUCAGGCUUGUGGACAUCACAACGCCCAUUCACAUGUAUCUCUUCAACAUGCAAGCACUUCGUUAGGGCCGCUGUUUUUUUGGAAGUGGGUUCACUGUUUACGCCUCCAUGGAAUUGGCUAGCUCGAAGAGUCCCCAGAUGACGUCGAGUUGCUCCUGGCACCCAGCUAGGCAUGAUCUAUGGUUCUCUCCUCAUUCCCAGUGAUGUGAUAAAUGAUUGGGACCGUUCACCUAGAACGGAAAAUCAUUGAAGGGGACUGAGGAAGGAGUUGGGCGUUUCCUAACUUCCAUUGCCAGAGUGGUUUUUUUACACCAGGGGACGUGCCACCUACAUUGCACCCAUGAUAAUCACUAAAAUCGACAAAAAAUAUCUAAAUAAUUUGAAUUUGCGGGCUCGGCUGUGACCAAUUGUUUAGGGUGCUUAUUUGGUGGCCAAAUGACAUCUGAGGAGCUCUUUACAUAAAAAUGUAUCAAAUUUUGUCCUGAAAGUUAUGUAAGCAUAGUUUGAGCAGAAGUUGUAUUUUGUAUAUAUGAAGCUCAUUUGAUACUAUUUGUUCACCAAACUAUGCGAGCACCUAAAACACUUGUUCAAUAAUGCCCCAAAGUUUUUUUUUCUAUUUGUUAUGAUUUACUCUUCAGCGUGGGUAAAUUGCACUUUGGUGUAGCCACAACUUUUCCUUCCCAUCCCGCAUAUCUGAUGGUAGCAAGCUCGGUGUACAUCUUCACCCAUGGUGAGUAAACAACUCCUUGGUUGGCCGCUCCACCUAGAUAUGUGUCGCCAAAAGCAACUCCAGAUGUUCCUGUAGCUGAAGUGACGACCAGAUAUGAACCCCGUGGAUACUUGAACAUAUAACUUGGAGAGGAGAAUAUAUCUUCUUUCAUCAAAUAUCACAUUAUUUCUACGUAACUACACUGACUAUCAAAUUUUGCAUUCGUUAUAUAUUUCUCUCAAACAUCAUCUACACAACUAAUGAAUCAACUGGGAUGCAACAUGCAUACAUCUAAUUAGCUCGUGGUAAUUGUUUAAAUAUGUCAAGUUCAAUCAAUGAAUCUUUUUUCAUGAAUGACCAUUCGUUUGACAGAUUUGGCAUGUGGUUCGACAAAAUGCCAUAAGAAAUAAAGGAUGCAAAAAUAUAAGGGAGCAUGAAGCUGAAUUGGCACUAACCUUGUUAAUAUUUUUCGUAGUGGACAAGACAAAUACUACACAGGCCAUCGCCACACCCAGUUUCGCUAGCUCAUCGCAGAUGAUGCGAUGUUUAACAACAUAUACAUUCUAAACGGACACUCAAGGCCCAUAGGGUGACCAGCGUUGCUUCCAUGAUAAUAUGGGCCCACAGGGUAUGAAAGUUUUUCUUCUGUGAGUCCCUAUCAUGUGGAACCCACGUCAGCUGUCGUGAUUGCGUUGGCUUUCAGCGACCGAAUACAUCGAAUCGGGGUUUUCGAGCAUUCUAUCCUUAUUUACCUUGAGUACCCCAAACCCAUUGAGGUCGCCUGCCGACGCUCUCUAGUAGUCGUCCAGGUGCUUGGGUCAUCCUUCUUCUGGCUAGAGUCGCUUUGGCAUCGAUCCUUUGGACAUUUGGUUCAAUCCCCCAAGAGCGUCUAUCACUGCCCCUACCGCAGAUGCUACCGAAAAGAGUUCUGGCAUUGAGCGAGCAUUUUCUUGGACUAUCCUGAUCAAACAUCUCGCAUGCCUCAUUCUACCUUUGAAAACUGAAAUUUUAUCCAGGUACAAUAGAUCCGUGGGAAGUCUUUCCUUUGCCUCAGAAACCCGCAAUUCCCAGAUAGAAAAUCCUAUUUCCCGCUCCUCUAGUUUCUUAAACCAGCGCUGUUUCUAUUUCCAGCAGGGAUACUCCCGAAAAAAGGGCUUCCAUUCAAAGUGGAAAGAAAGAGACCGGUUUGUUCUCCCUCUUUGCCUAUCAGUUAAGUCGAUUGUAGGUCCCCUCCCAGGCCUCGCAACCAAGAGUCACUUGUCGAAAGUUGACCAAGAAGACAAGAACUAUCGAGGCUGGAAUAGAUAGAUGAAACUCUAAAAUGUUUCACCUUCUUCUAUGGUCAUUCUUAUUUUCAUGAAGUUGAAAUUGUGCUCGCACAUGUAAGCUUAAUCAGGUUUGUGGACGUCACAACCCCCAUUGUCCUGUAUCUCUUCAACAUGCAAGCACUUCGUUAGGGCUGGUGUUUUUUUUGGAAGUGGGUUCACUGUUUACGCCUCCAUAGAAUCCGGCUAGCUCAAAGAGUCCCCAGAUUACGUCGAGCUGCUCCUGGUACCUUGCUAGGCACGAUCUAUGGUUUUCUCCUCAUUCCAGUGAUGUCAUAAAUGAUUGGGACCGUUCACCUAGAACGGAAAAUCAUUGAAGGGUAGUGAGGAAGGAGUUGGGCGUUUCCUAACUUCCAUUGCCUACACCAGGGGACGUUCCACUUACAUUGCACCCAUGAUAAUCACUAAAGUCGAAAAAAUAGCUAAAUAAUUUGAAUUUGCGGGCUCGGCUGCGACCAAUUGUUUAGUGUGCUUAUUUGGUGGCCAAAUGACAUCCGAGGAGCUCUUUACAUAUAAACAUAUCAAAUUUGGUCCUCAAAGUUAUGUACGCAUAGCUUGAGCAAAAGUUGUAUUUUGUAUAUAUGAAGCUCAUUUGAUAAUAUUUGGUCACCAAACUAUGCAAGCACCUGAAACACUUGUUCAAUAAUGCCCCAAAGUUUUUUUCUAUUUUUUAUGAUUUUACUCUUUAGCGUGGGUAAAUUGCACUUCGGUGUAGCCACAACUUUUCCUUCCUUUCCCGCAUCUCUGAUGGUAGCAAGCUCGAGGUACCGGUCAGGAGUUUUUAGCUGGAAGGAUGUGGCGAUCGUGACUCCAAGGUCAUAUCUAUCCAGGGGUACUAUUCUGGGGACAAAGCCAUUAGGAGUCGCUUUUGACCGUGAUCCUUUUGACCAGUUAUCGCAAUGCCCAAACUUUGCUACAUUAACAUACAUGAAUUUGUAUGACAGUGGGAAGUAACAUCGAAUUAUGAAAAUGAUACAGGGAGACAAUCUUCCCCUUUCGGCCCCCACCAUGCAAAUAACAACCUUACUCCUACUUGUCUAGAAUUAUAUGUAUCAACAGGUAUAGUGUGUGUGAGGGGGUGAGGGGGAUCCUGCGAGCCUUGUACACUAGGUUUCUAGCACAUUUGGUGACCAGUCUUGACCAGAUGUGCAAGUUCAGAUCUAGUCUAUGUCUGAAGCUAGGGCUUCCAUUCAGUCAUCUUGGCCCUCCAAGCAGAAGUUGUCACCUCUUGUUCAGGUGCUAAUGUAUUUAUAAAUGGUUUGGGGUCAGAUGGACGCCUUCCUUUCCUAGCCUUCCGUUCGUGAAAAGCUUUAUAAUUCCACUGUCAUGACAUGUCCUCCCUCCUUUAAAGGAGUUCCUGGGGUACCCGUCAUCCUAAUUUCACUGCUAGGAGUGACCCUCCGUGGGAGUUGGUUUGACAUUCAUGAAAGUUUCCUUGAGGCUUACACGGCUUGGCAUGGGCCCGAUCCACCUCUUUCCUACAACAUAUGACCUAGGAGCUGUCGACAGGCUGCGCAAGUGCGGAAGAAACUGGAUCGAGAAGCUGCCGGUGGUUCUUUGGUCGAUCAGAACGACGCCAAAUCGAGCCACUGGCCAGACGCCUUUCGCUCUAGUCUAUGGAGCAGAGGCAGUUCUCCCCACGGAACUCGUAUACGGAUCGCGUCGAGUGCUCGCUUAUGAUGAGCUUGAGCAAGAACAGCUGCGACAAGACGACGCGCUGCUCCUUGAGGAAGAUCGUCUUCAGGCUGCUGUACGAGCUGCUCGAUACCAGCAAGCUUUGCGCCGCUACCAUAGCCACAAAGUUAAAGCCAGAAGCUUCGAGGAAGGCGACCUUGUUCUUCGGCGUGUUCAGUCCGCCAAGAAUUCCAACAAGUUGACGCCGAAGUGGGAAGGCCCUUAUCGGGUGAAACGAGUCACAAGGCCCGGCGCUGUCCGCCUUGAGACCGAAGAUGGCAUUCCGGUGAGCAACUCCUGGAACAUAGAACAUCUUUGUAAGUUUUUCCCGUAGGGCGCGGUUGCCGGAACCCGUUCCGGCAACCACCUUUUGUACAAGUCUUGCCGCUGUUGCAUGUAAUCCUUUAUACAAAGCCGAGCGCAGAUCCCGUGCAUAAAUAAAACCCCAUGUGCUCCGCACAACUUGUCCAUUUCAUGCAUUAGUUUCUUUCUUGCAUGCGUAUCUGACACUUUGUGCAGCACCUACAUCCGAUAAGCAAUAACGAGCCGAAGGGUUCCAUAUCAUUAUUUUCUCUUCUUUCUUAUUUUCAACAAAGGAAAAGAAGGAUCCCUUGCACACAAGUUUGCCGGGGGGGAAGGAGAAGAUUGUGGUAUGGACCAGGCGUCGUUCAAGAAAAGUUUUGCCUUGCCGGGAAGCAAACGACAGAAAAACUAAGUUGCCAAAGUUUGAGCAAUCAGUUUUUAAAUUUUUGAGUUAUUUUCCUCGAACGACCCCGCUUUGUAUGGAAAACCUGUGCGCGGAGGGACCAACUCGUGGCUAGUUGCGCCCUUACUUUGUUUCGAGUCCGCUCAACAACUUAAGUGUGCUGCAUCUAGUCGCGACAAGGUUUCUUGUCGGAAGCAGCGCUGCCAGCAGGCUGCUGAAGUUCCGCACCCAGCGCUCGCGGCUCGGGUGCCUGCGCCGACAAGUUCCCUAGAAGGGUAGGGUAAAAACAUACAAAGGAAGGAAUCUAGUAGAGGAAAUAACAUAGCAAUUGAUAACAGAAAUAAAGUUAUAUUACAAGAUAACUUGUCGCAGCUCUAACAGACUGUUUUCAUAACAUGAUUAGCAGCGACAAGGGAAAAGAAGAAAUGGGCAGCCUAGUCUACGCGUCCGCCCUCGACCCUCUUGAUCUCACUCACCUUGUCCACAAUGGGUGCGACAAGGGCCUUGAGCGCAUCCAGAUCAGCGUCAGGUGGCAAGGACCUGAGGACGUUGGUAAGGUUGAGGCCUGGGUUGCGGAAGGCCACCUUCAUCAGCACCUUCUGGAGAGCCCUCGUGCAAAUCCUGCGCGACUCGUCGGCCAGCUGCUUUGGGAUCCUCUCCCGGAGCCGCUGGAGUGCCGUCGCCACGCCCUUGAAGAACAUGCUGAGCUUGGCGCUGGGUUGGAGAUUCUCGUCGGAGGGAUACCCAAAGUCCUCCAUCCCCAGCUGCGCCAGCUCCUCGUCGAUGACUGCGGCAAUAUUCACCAGACCCUCGGUCCAGUGCUCCACAGUAUCUCUGAACGAGUUCUGGGUAACUGCGAUGCUCUCCAGCAGCGCCUUGUCAGCUUUGACCUUCUCUGACAAGGUCUUCUCCCGCUCCUUGGCGGCCUCCAGCGUCUGCAUCAGCGUGGCCAGCUUCAACUCUAGGACCGCAUUGGAAUCCUUGGCGGCGCUGAGCUCCUUGCCCCUCUCAGCGAGAAGACCUUGCAGCUCACCGUGGGCGGCAGCAUCCUUCUCACGCUCACGCUUGAGCGCGGCAAGCUCCUCGCCGCUCUUCUCGAUGUUGGCCUCCAGCUGCGCCACCUUCUCCUCCAGCUCUUUUGUGGCAGCCUCUGUGAUUGCGGCAGCGUCCUUUGCCUCUUUGAGCACCCCGCCAAGUGCUUGCUCGCGCUCGGCGAGCUCCUCCUUGUAGCAGUCGAGGUUGGCCUUCCGCUGCACCAAUUCGCCUUCUCGCGCGGACUGCUUCUCGGCGGCCAGCCUUUGUUCCUCCUCAGCUUCGGCCUUCUCGAGAAGGAAGGCCGUGCGCUCCUCGUCGAGUCGCUCCCGCUCAUGUGCCAGGGACCGGAGAGCUUCUUGAUUGUGGCCCCGGUGUUCCUUCGCACGCUUCUCCAUGUCAACUCCCGCCUUCGCGACAAGCGCUUCCCGGGAAGCCAGCUUGGCUUGCCGUGCGCGGUAGAGUGACAGCAGCUUCCGCAGCAGCUGCUCCUCCUCAAGCUCGCCACUGCUGCUGCUGGGCGCGUCGACCAACGACAGUCCAGCAGAGGCGAGCACCUCCUCAUAGAAAGUUUCCCCCUCGACCGGUGCCCUGGAGCUCGAAGACCAGGGUAGCUUGAUGAAGAUAUCGUCACCGGCCUUCAAGUAGGCGCCGGGCUGGCGCUCGUUGGAGCCCGGCUUCGCAGAAGCGGCAGAGGGAUCGGCGGUUGGCGCAGCGCCUGGCGCUCCUGCGGCCUCUGGGUCGUCAGUGCGAUCGCCCGACCCCUCGCCGGCUUCUACGGCGGCAGCCUUGGCGGCCUCCUCGCCGGCGGUCUCAUCAGCACCGGCCCCUUCCUCGCCAGCGCCCUCUGUCUCCAUUGGCUCAGCAGCAGAUGGGUCUGAAGAACGAAGAAGGGAGAAAAAUCAAUCAAAAAUCCAAGAGAAGAAAAUCAGAAGAAGAAGAACCCAAGGGAAAGUUUUUGGGCAAGUGAAUUACCUAUGCCAAGAUCUGCAGUUGCGGUCUCGGCCGCCGCAGGAUCGGCGGUGCUGCCCCUUGCCGGAGAGUUCUCCCUUGCCGGAGAGCGCUCCCUUAUCGGGAACUCCUCCCUUAGCGGCACAGUCGAAGCAGAUGGCACUUCGGGACCAGCUUCCAGGCGCUCCUGAUAUGGCUGCUCUGCUCCUACACAAAUCAACAAGCAAGAUAUCAACAAAGGAAAAAGCACUCAUGCGCGCUUGACAGCAGAAAGCUAACUAUGAACUUACGCUGGGGGCUGUUUUGAGGAGUGGUUGCCGGGUCCGUCAAGGUGGUCUCGGACCCACCCCCUGCUGACACGGUGGGGUCAUCUUCGAUGACAAUCACCGCGGCCUUGGCCCUCUUCGCCGCUCUCUGGGCCAGCAUCCUGAAAAGAAAGGAGUCCAGAUUGAAGCAGGUCAGAUACAAGAUAAAAACAGCAAGAUUGAAGAACUACAAGAGCACCAAGGAAACUUACUCUUCUUCCUCCUCGUCGGAGCUGAGCGCAGAAAGAUCAAAGUCUGGCUCCCUUCCGGUGCGGCGAGGCGGAGCAGCAGGAUCCCUUGCCCGCUUGGCGGGGGCGGUGGCGGUGGCCCGGGAAGAUCCCGCUCCAGUUGCCGCUGCUGCGUGGGGCGCUCCCGCGGUAACAUUGCUUGCCGCGGUAGAGCAUGCGCACGGCUUGGCGGCUGUUGACCCGGCUGCCGCCCCGCUACGUCCGCGGCCCUACGAAGACGCCUUCUUGGCGGGGCCGGGGGCUCCGCCUGCGGCAAGCCUUCUGAAGGCUCGGGCUCUUCCUUGCCGGCCUCGCUCGGCUCAGCUUCAGAACCGGCAGGCUCUUCCUCGCCAAUGAACUCCGUGUGCUCGGCGAGGUUUGCCGCCUCUGCAGCCUCCGCCUCCUCCACAGUGAACCCGAACGCGCCCGCGGCAGCUGCGGCCGCAACCUCUUCCGCCCUAGUGGUGAUGCGCUGCAGCUCCUCAUCGGUGGUGUCACGGGUGAGGCUCUUCUGAUCGUCAGCGUGGACCGGCACUUCUUCCAAGUUGUCGAAGAACGCUUGCACGACGUCAUCUGCAGGCUCUUGCCAAGUUGGAACGAUCCCGUGUGAAUCGCACAACGGCAUCAUGGCGCGGAUCCGGUCAACCGAAGAAUUAUUGCACAAUGGAAUGACGCCCCUCGGCAGCGUGAAUGGGUGCUGGGGGUCGCGUUUGAACAACUCCAGGAGCAUUGCAUCCAGCUCCAAGACGGUGAAGUUGUAGUUGAGGCCCGGCCGCAGCCUCAUGAUGUCUGCCGAGUUCUUGAAUUCCCAGGCGGGCCUCCCCCUCUCCUGCAGGGGGGCGAUGCGGCGGCGGAGGAAAUCUGCGCCUACAGCGCCUACAGUGAGCCCGGCAAGCCUGAGGCGAAGGAUCCUAGUAAUGGCGAUCUUCGGCCUCUCGUCUUCCGGGGCCACAUUGCUCCAGUCAUUGCCGCGCACUAUUGGAGCUUGGCGCACGGCGGUGAAGGGCUGCGGAUUCUCCUCGACGAUCCAGCACCACUCCGCCCUCCACUCCUCCCACUUGCUGCGGAGCUCACCCUCCAAGUACGCCUCCUUCUUGCCGACUCUCGAGAUCCAGGCGAUCCCACCGGCAAGCGGCUCUCCUCUCUCUACCCGAGGUAUGAAGAAGUGGCGGAAAAGGGCAACAUUGGGGUAGACUCCGACAAAGUUUUCGCACAAAUGUGCGAAAACUGCCAUGGUCAGAACGACGUUGGGGGUGAAGUCAAGGAGGCGGAAGCCGUAGGUGUUCAUGAUAUCGCAGAAGAACUCCGAGAAGGGCGGGCAGAGCCCGCAAUAGAAGAACAGCGCGAAGAAUGGGUACCCGUUUGGAGCCAGUUCUGAAGCAGCGGCCAGGAGUACCCUCGUGCGCGGAUGCGCCCGCGUCUCCGUCGCCCAAAAGAGGUAGAAGUACUCCCUCAGCUCCUUCACGCCGAGCUGGGGGGAGAAGAUCACCCGCUCCUUUCGCAGCGCCGCGAGCCGCUGCGCCUCGGCCGACUUCACGCCCUUUCCCUUGUCGGCUUUCGGAGCCAUGGCGGAGGUGGUGGGGGAGGUCGACGGCAUUAGUGAUGCUGGUGGCAAUGGGGGGCGGAGCGCUGCUCUCUCGGCUUCGAGAAGAAGAGGGGGGGGGGCGGCGGAGGUUCGUGAAGAUGGAGUAGUAGCAACCAGCGAGGGGGAAAGAACUGCCCCUGUUUCCUCUGCUUAUAAAGAGGGACGGGGCGGACGUUUCGCCCUUCCGAAUAAAGAACCACCCACGAUCUCUCCCACGAUGCCGCAUUCAACGCGUGCCGUUAGGGGAGAGCGCGGUGGACACGGAGCGAGAUUCGGCGUGGCCCAGUCCACAUGUGCCCGUGCCCUGUCUUGGGCCUGGCCCAACAGCGCUCGGCACCGUGUCUGGCCCAGGCCCGGGGGAUCCUGUCGGUGUACUAGAAUAGGGGUACCCUAGUACCCCGAACUUGUGCACGGGCAGUUGCAGCACCCCGCGGCCAGGCUUGCCGGGCUAACACCAAGAUCCUCCGUGGUUCCCUUGGAGCCAUUCAAGAACAAAGUAUUUAAGCUCAGGAGACAAGGCCCCGGCAAGAGGAGCAUGCCGGGAAGGCAUACCGAGGCACUCCAAGGAACUUGCCGCGACGCGCCACGCGCUCCGGCAAGGCAACAAGGCCCCGGCAAGAGGAGCUUGCCGGGAAGACUAACCAAGGUACCUCGAGGCCCGGUGAGCGACAAGCUUCCGGACCCGACAAGAUAACAGCAGCGGCAAGGCGCUUGCCGCGGCAGGCGGCCACUCUGUGCCCACGCUCCAGCGCAUCCACCAACGUGUCGCUCUGGGGGCCUCUCCAGGCGCGCGUGGCGGGAGGCUGUGCAGCCAGCGGUACGCAGUGGCAUGCGAAGCUGACAAGAUCGCCAUCGUGGCGAAUAGUGGCGCCCCUAAUGGUCCUUUUCUGCACUGUUUGGGCGACUCAGACGUGCAUUUAAUGCCCUUGUCCCCUGCCGUCAGGGUUAGGUAGGGUGCACUGUACAAGUAACUGUACCAACCACCUCACUUUUUACAUUUGUACCCUUCUCUGCGUUGCCACCUGUUGGUGACCCCUUUAGCGUAUAAAAGGAGGCCCAUGCGCAACAUAGAGGGGGGUUCGGUUCGACUGGUUCGCGAAGUUCGACUCAUUCGUAACCCAGAAAAACACUACGCUCUCUCUCUAGAGCAAGAACACAAAAUAAUCAAACAAGCAACAGUAGGAGUGUUAUCUCUCCGGAGAGCUCCGAAGNNNNNNNNNNNNNNNNNNNNNNNNNNNNNNNNNNNNNNNNNNNNNNNNNNNNNNNNNNNNNNNNNNNNNNNNNNNNNNNNNNNNNNNNNNNNNNNNNNNNNNNNNNNNNNNNNNNNNNNNNNNNNNNNNNNNNNNNNNNNNNNNNNNNNNNNNNNNNNNNNNNNNNNNNNNUGUGGAUCAGUUUCCCCCGACAUACUAUCUAUCCUAUCAACCAUAGCUAAGUUGUGAACUCUAUAACGUCAUCAAUACUUGAAUGUACUACAGUUCUGUCCUGUUUGGACUCCCGACAGAAUCAUGGUAGUUGUACAUUUUGUACUCACUGCAUGUGUCACACACCAUGAUUAUCUACUCAUUCUUAAGUGCUAAGUAUGUGUUGGGAAGAUAUCCAACUAGUUGGCUUGAUAUCGGGCACAUGCUGGGCAGUACUCCAAAGUCAACUAUAAAUCAUCAUGGGAUCAAGCUUACAUAAACAAGUAUUAUCAUGCAUGUUCGUAUGAUAGUCCAGUAUCAGCUAUGAGAUCAUGAAUGGCAAACUGGAGGGGCUAAUUUAUGAGUGCGUGUGCUUAUAAAUAGGAUCUCUAGCUAGCUAGUACUCACAUCAACACAACCACGGAAAAAAACUUCCAUUUUUCUAGAUAGAGCUUUGAGCCGCAACAUCCGCCUUCCGCUCUUGCAAUGGCUUCCAGCUCCGUGCUUAAGAUGGCCGCCGUUUUCAUGCUGGCCCUAUUCGCCGGCCAGGCGCUGAUGGCUACGCCAGUGAUGGCAGAAGAAGUAGGUAACCGGCACAACCUUUUGGAGAAGUAUGAUGAGACACAAUGUCGCGGAUACGCCACAUGCAAUAUUGUAUGCUUCUACCAAGUUUUUCAAGUCUGCAUCAUCUACAGCCCUGUUGCAUUCUGCAACACUUGGGCGUUUGGGUUCUGCAAGGACAAGAGAUAUUGAGGCAUAAAUGGCAGUGCAGCUCCUUUUGGGAUGCAUGCACAACUACACGAGCAACUCACCUCAUCAGUGUCAACUAUUGUUCCUUGGUUAUUGGCGUUGUCCGUUGUAAGAGUCCUAAUAUGUUCCUCCCUUUAUUUCCAGCUAUCAUGUAUCAGCGGCUUAGCCAACUAUUUAAUUACUUCAUUGUCUGUCAUCAUGGUACUUGUUUAACUAAAAAUGCCCCGUCGGAUACAAAUGUAUGUGUCGUGUGAUUAUAAAAUGGUUCCGCCGCUGCAACAUUUUUUGGUCCAUAAUGGCCAUAUAAGCAUGCUCUUUCUACCCUUACCCAUGAAUCUUUUUUCAUGAAUGACCAUUCGUUUGACAGAUUUGGCAUGUGGUUCGACAAAAUGCCAUAAGAAAUAAAGGAUGCAAAAAUAUAAGGGAGCAUGAAGCUGAAUUGGCACUGACCUUGUUAAUAUUUUUCGUAGUUGACAAGACAAAUACUACACAGGCCAUCGCCACACCCAGUUUCGCUAGCUCAUCGCAGAGGAUGCGAUGUUUGACAACAUAUACAUUCUAAACGGACACUCAAGGCCCAUAGGGUGACCAGCGUUGCUUCCGUGUUAAUAUUGGCCCACAGGGUAUGAAAGUUUUUCUUUUGUGAGUCCCUAUCAUGUGGAACCCACGUCAGCUGUCGUGAUUGCGUUGGCUUUCAGCGACCGAAUACAUCGAAUUGGGGUUUUCGAGCGUUCUCUCCUUAUUUACCUUGAGUACCCCAAACCCAUUGAGGUCGCCUGCCGACGCUCUCUGGUAGUCGUCCAGGUGCUUGGGUCAUCCUUCUUCUGGCUAGAGUCGCAUUGGCAUCGAUCCUUUGGACAUUUGUUUCAACCCCCCAAGAGCGUCUAUCACUGCCCCUACCGCAGAUGCCACCGAAAAGAGUUCUGGCAUUGAGCGAGCAUUUUCUUGGACUAUCCUGAUCAAACAUCUCGCAUGCCUCAUUCUACCUUUGAAAACUGAAAUUUUAUCCAGGUACAAUAGAUCCAUGGGAAGUCAUUCCUUUGCCUCAGAAACCCGCAAUUCCCAGAUAGAAAAUCCUAUUUCCCGCUCCUCUAGUUUCUUAAACCAGCGCUGUUUCUUUUUCCAGCAGGGAUACUCCCGAAAAAAGGGCUUCCAUUCAAAGUGGAAAGAAAGAGACCGGUUUGUUUUCCCUCUUUGCCUAUCAGUUAAGUAGAUUGUAGGUCCCCUCCCAGGCCUCGCAACCAAGAGUCACUUGUCGAAAGUUGACCAGGAAGACAAGAACUAUCGAGGCUGGAAUAGAUAGAUGAAACACUAAAAUGUUUCACCUUCUUCUAUGGUCAUUCUUAUUUUCAUGAAGUUGAAAUUGUGCUCGCACAUGUAAGCUUAAUCAGGUUUGUGGACAUCACAACCCCCAUUGUCCUGUAUCUCUUCAACAUGCAAGCACUUCGUUAGGGCUGUUUUUUUUUGGAAGUGGGUUCACUGUUUACGCCUCCAUAGAAUCCGGCUAGCUCAAAGAGUCCCCAGAUGACCUCGAGUUGCUCCUGGCACCUUGCUAGGCACGAUCUAUGGUUUUCUCCUCAUUCCAGUGAUGUCAUAAAUGAUUGGGACCGUUCACCUAGAACCGAAAAUCAUUGAAGGGUAGUGAGGAAGGAGUUGGGCGUUUCCUAACUUCCAUUGCCUACACCAGGGGACGUUCCACUUACAUUGCACCCAUGAUAAUCACUAAAGUCGAAAAAUAGCUAAAUAAUUUGAAUUUGCGGGCUCGGCUGUGACCAAUUGUUUAGUGUGCUUAUUUGGUGGCCAAAUGACAUCCGAGGAGCUCUUUACAUAUAAACAUAUCAAAUUUUGUCCUCAAAGUUAUGUACGCAUAGCUUGAGCAAAAGUUGUAUUUUGUAUAUAUGAAGCUCAUUUGAUAAUAUUUGUCACCAAACUAUGCAAGCACCUGAAACACUUGUUCAAUAAUGCCCCAAAUUUUUUUUCUAUUUGUUAUGAUUUUACUCUUUAGAGUGGGUAAAUUGCACUUCGGUGUAGCCACAAUUUUUCCUUCCCUUCCCGCAUCUCUGAUGGUAGCAAGCUCGAGGUACCGGUCAGGAGUUUUUAGCUGGAAGGAUGUGGCGAUCGUGACUCCAAGGUCAUAUCUAUCCAGGGGUACUAUUCUGGGGACGAAGCCAUUAGAAGUUGCUUUUGACCAGUUAUCGCAAUGCCCAAACUUUGCUACAUUAACAUAUAUGAAUUUGUAUGACAGUGGGAAGUAACAUCGAAUUAUGAAAAUGAUACAGGGAUGCAAAUAACAACCUUACUCCUACUUGUCUAGAAUUAUAUGUAUCAACAGGUAUAGUGUGUGUGAGGGGGGGAGGGGGAUCCUAUAAGCCUUGUACACUAGGUUUCUAGCACAUUUGGUGACCAGUCUUGACCAGAUGUGCAAGUUCAGAUCUAGUCUAGGCCUGAAGCUAGCGCUUCCAUUCAGUCAUCUUGGCCCUCCAAGCAGAAGUUGUCACAUCUUGAUCAGGUGCUAAUGUAUUUAUAAAUGGUUUGGGGUCAGAUGGACGCCUUCCUUUCGUAGACUUCCGUUCGUGAAAAGCUUGAUAAUUCCACUGUCAUGACAUGUCCUCCCUCCUUUAAAGGAGUUCCUGGGGUACCCGUCAUCCUAAUUUCACUUCUAGGAGUGACCCUCCGUGGGAGUUGGUUUGACAUUUGUGAAAGUUUCCUUCAGGCUUACACGGCUUGGUAUGGGCCCGAUCCACCUCUUUCCUACAACAUAUGACCUACCCGUAUACUACACCUUCACCCAUGGUGAGUAAACAACCCCUUGGUUGCCCGCUCCACCAGAUACGUGCUGCCAAAAGCAACUCCUGAUGUUCUGUAGCUGAAGUGAUGACAAGAUCUGAACCCGGUGGAUACUUGAGCAGAUAACUUGGAGAGGAGAAUAUAUCUUCUUUCUUAAAAUUUUGCAUUCGUUAUAUAUUUCUCUCAAAUUUUUCUAAAACUAAUUUUUUUAGUACAAAUGAAAUUUCCAUGUAACAAUUUGCGUAAAACAUCAUCUACACAACUAACGGAUCAACUGGGAUGCAACAUGCAUAUAUCUAAUUAGCUCGUGGUAUUAUUUAAAUAUGUCAAGUUGAAUCAAUGAUAAAUAAAUAAAAUAAGAAAUUAACUAUAAAAUAUUUCAAUAUUAAUUAAUGUGGAUGACAGGCAUAAUGUAACCAUGACUCCCUGACAGGUAGGUAGUACAAACGGCAGGGUUGAUUUUAUAUCCGUGUGUUGCUUCUGAUAAUUUACCUGUCGGCAAACAAAAAGAACAAUGAUAGAUCAAACUAUGUGCUUUUGGUUAGCAGCAUACGCGAAACACAGUUGAAGAACUGUAAUGAUGGUACGCCAUGAGAUGCUUUCCUAGGUGAGUAAUUUAUGAUCUCGAGAUGCCCUUCACACACUUACCUAAGUUGACAACUAACUCUAUAAUGCCAUUAAGACUUGAACACUAUUGUUUUAUACUAUUUUCGACUUAAUAAUGAAUCUUGGUGCCAUGGUGAUAGUAUAUUUUAGACUCGGAUCAUGGCAUACACAAGGAUCAUCUAUCGAUUAUUAAUUAAGUGCUAAAUUAUGUGGUGGCAAUAUAUGGACCUAGCUGGCUUGAGAUUUGCUACAUGCAGGGGAGUACGACAACAUCAAUUAUAUCAUGCAUGAUGAGAUUGAGCUUACACAAACUUGUAUUAUCAUGCGUCUACUUUUGAAAUAUACAUAAAAAGGAAGUAAAAAUUGUAGGAAAAAUUAUUGGCUGGUCAAAUAAUUUCAUUCUUCUGGAAUGUAUGACCAUAUUAAUAAUGAAGUACUUGAUUAGACUAACGCUUCUACUGAACCCUCUCAGGUAAACGCCAUGAUGGUGUUGCAUCUACCCUUAUAUGCUUAUGUCUGGAACACAUGCUCUGCUUUUGGAUUUAUCUCUAUAAAAAAUACACUAUUCGAGGAAUCGUCAGAGUUUUCCCCGGGUUUAAAGUUUAUACUGAAAUUUGUAAUUUUGAUAAGCAGUAUAAGGAUCGGUAAAAUGCCAUUCAAGAUAUGUAUUGACGGUAACGCGCAAGGCGCUCUCAUAGGUGUGUAAUUUAUGAUCUUAAGAUGCUCUAUGCGCUAGUGGUUGUUUGGUUAAAUAAAAUUAGCCAUGAGUUUAUGGAAAAUUAGUUGUUAGCUGGUUUUUAGUAAAAUCCUUUUUGCUAGCAGUUUUGUGAAUAAUCAGUAUAGAAAAAAUAGUGUUUGGGAUUAGGAAACUGUAAAGAUGGACAUGCAUUUACUUGUUUGGAUAAAAUUCCAUAUUCCUCUCUCUGUGAGUUGUGGAAGGAGGAUGGCAAGAAAAAAGUUUGGGGCGUGAGGAAGUUAGUUAGGAUCCCGCAUUGCUAUCACGUUUAAAAAAAACAAAUAGUAGUUUUUCUACAAAUGUGAAAUCGUGAGUUUACUUGAAAAAAGGUCUUCAUAUACGCGGGUUAGUUAGAAUAGCGAAGAAAGAUUCUAUUCGGUUAGACAGUUUUUCAAGUUUAUAGGAAUUGCGUUUUGUAUAUACUAUCUAUCCUACCAACCCUAGCUAAGUUGUGAACUCUAUAACGCCAUCAAUACUUGAACGUACUACAGUUCUGUCUUGUUUGGACUCCCGACUGAAUCAUGGUAGUUGUACAUUUUUUACUCAGUGCAUGUCACACACACCAUGAUUAUCUACUGAUUGUUAAGUGCUAGGUAUGUGUUGGCAAGAUAUCCAACUAGUUGGCUCGAUAUUGGGUACAUGCAGGGGAGUACUCCAAAGUCAACUAUAUAUCAUGAUGGGAUCAAGCAUACAUAAACAGGUAUUAUCAUGCAUGUUCGUAUGAUAGUGCAGUAUCAGCUCUGAGAUCAUGAAUGGCAAACUGGAGGGGCUAAUUUAUGAGUGCGUGUGCUUAUAAAUAGGGUCUCUAGCUAGCUAGUACUCACAUCAACACAAGCACGAGAAAACACUUCCAUUUUUCUAGAUAGAGCUUUGAGCCGCAACAUCCGCCUUCCGCUCUUGCAAUGGCUUCCAGCUCCGUGCUUAAGAUGGCCGCCAUUUUCGUGCUGGCCGUAUUCGCCGGCCAGGCACUGAUGGCUACGCUGGCGAUGGCAGAAGGACUAGGUUACCGACACAACCUUUUGGAGAAGUACGAUGAGACGCAAUGUCGCGGAUACGCCACAUGCAAUAUUGUAUGCUUCUACCAAGUUUUUCAAGUCUGCAUCAUCUACAGCCCUGUUGCAUUCUGCAACACUUGGGCGUUUGGGUUCUGCAAGGACAAGAGAUACUGAGGCAUAAAUAGCAGUGCAGCUCCUUUUGGGAUGCAUGCACAACUACACGAGCAACUCACCUCAUCAGUGUCAACUAUUAUUGUUCCUUCGUUAUUGGCGCUGUGCGUCGUAAGAGUCCUAAUAUGUUCCUCCCUUUAUUUCCAACUAUCAUGUAUCAGUGGCUUAACCAACUAUUUAAUUCCUAUAUUGUCUGUCAUCAUGGUACUUGUUCAACUAAAAAUCCCCCAUCGAAUACAAAUGUAUGUGUCGUGUGACUAUAAAAUGGUUCCGCCACUGCAACAUUUUUCAGUCCAUGAUGGCCAUAUAAGCAUGCUCUUUCCACCCUUACCCAUGAAUCUUUUUUCAUGAAUGACCAUUCGUUUGACAGAUUUGGCAUGUGGUUCGACAAAAUGCCAUAAAAAAUAAAGGAUGCAAAAAUAUAAUAAGGGAGCUUGAAGCUGAAUUGGCACUAACCUUGUAAAUACUUUUCGUAGUGGACAAGACAAAUACUACAUAGGCCAUCGCCACACCCAGUUUCGCACGAUCAUCGCAGAUGAUGCGAUGUUUGACAACAUAUACAUUCUAAAGGACACUCAGGGCCCGCAAGGCAUAGAGGGGGAGGUCAUAAGCACCUAUACCGUAAAAUAGAUUUUUGACGGAAUCAAAAAGACAUAUCUGGUAGAAUCGUAACCAUAGAAUACGACCCUAAUCGAAAUGCAUACAUUUGUCUCAUAGGGUGACCAGCGUUGCUUCCAUGUUAAUCCGGGCCCAUAGGGUACGGAAGUUUCUCCUUCUGUGAGUCCCUAUCACGUGGAACCCACAUCAACUGCCGUGAUUGCAUUGGCUUUCAGGGACCGAAUACAUCGAAUCGGGGUUUUCGAGCGGUCUCUCCUUAUUUACCUUGAGUACCCCAAACCCAUUGAGGUCACUUGCUGACGCUCUCUAGUAGUCGUCCAGGUGCUUGGGUCAUCCUUCUUCUGGCUAGUCGCUUUGGCAUCGAUCCUUUGGACAUUUGCUUCAAUCCCCCAAGAACGUCUUUCACUGCCCCUACCACAGAUGCUACCGAAAAGAGUUCCGACAUUGAGCAAGUAUUUUCUUGGACUAUCCCGAUCAAACAUCUCUCAUGCCUCAUUCUACCUUUGAAAACUGAAAUUAUAUCCAGGUACGAUAGAUCCGUGGGAAGUCAUUCCUUUGCCUCAGAAAUCCGCAAUUCCCAGAUGAAAAAUCCUAUUUCAAGCUCCUCUAGUUUCUUAAACCAGCACUGUUUCCUUUUCCAGCAGGGAUACUCCUGAAAAAGGGCUUCCGUUCAAAGUGGAAAGAAAGAGACCUGUCCGUUCUCCCUAUUUGCCUAGCGGUUAAGUAGAAUGUAGGGCCCCUCCUAGGCCACGCAACCAAGAGUCACUUGUCGAAAGUUGACCAGGAAGACAAUAACUAUCGAGGCUGGAAUUGAUAGAUGAAACUCUAAAAUGUUUCACCUUCUUCUAUGGUCAUUCUUAUUUUCAUGAAGCUCACAUGUAAGCUUCGUCAGGCUUGUGGACAUCACAACGCCCAUUCACAUGUAUCUCUUCAACAUGCAAGCACUUCGUUAGGGCCGCUGUUUUUUUGGAAGUGGGUUCACUGUUUACGCCUCCAUGGAAUCUGGCUAGCUCGAAGAGUCCCCAGAUGACGUCGAGUUGCUCCUAGCACCCAGCUAGGCAUGAUCUAUGGUUCUCUCCUCAUUCCCAGUGAUGUGAUAAAUGAUUGGGACCGUUCACCUAGAACGGAAAAUCAUUGAAGGGGACUGAGGAAGGAGUUGGGCGUUUCCUAACUUCCAUUGCCAGAGUGGUUUUUUUACACCAGGGGAUGUUCCACCUACAUUGCACCCAUGAUAAUCACUAAAAUCGACAAAAAAUAUCUAAAUAAUUUGAAUUUGCGGGCUCGGCUGUGACCAAUUGUUUAGGGUGCUUAUUUGGUGGCCAAAUGACAUCCGAGGAGCUCUUUACAUAAAAAAUAUAUCAAAUUUUGUCCUGAAAGUUAUGUAAGCAUAGUUUGAGCAGAAGUUGUAUUUUGUAUAUAUGAAGCUCAUUUGAUACUAUUUGUUCACCAAACUAUGCGAGCACCUAAAACACUUGUUCAAUAAUGCCCCAAAGUUUUUUUUUUCUAUUUGUUAUGAUUUACUCUUCAGCGUGGGUAAAUUGCACUUUGGUGUAGCCACAACUUUUCCUUCCCAUCCCGCAUAUCUGAUGGUAGCAAGCUCGGUGUACAUCUUCACCCAUGGUGAGUAAACAACUCCUUGGUUGGCCGCUCCACCUAGAUAUGUGUCGCCAAAAGCAACUCCAGAUGUUCCUGUAGCUGAAGUGACGACCAGAUCUGAACCCCGUGGAUACUUGAACAUAUAACUUUGAGAGGAGAAUAUAUCUUCUUUCAUCAAAUAUCACAUUAUUUCUACGUAACUACACUGACUAUCAAAUUUUGCAUUCGUUAUAUAUUUCUCUCAAAUUUUGCUAAAACCAAAAUAUUUUUUUAAUACACAUGAAAUUUCCAUGUAACAAUUUGCGUAAAACAUCAUCUACACAACUAAUGAAUCAACUGGGAUGCAACAUGCAUACAUCUAAUUAGCUCGUGGUAAUUGUUUAAAUAUGUCAAGUUCAAUCAAUGAAUCUUUUUUCAUGAAUGACCAUUCGUUUGACAGAUUUGGCAUGUGAUUCGACACAAUGCCAUAAGAAAUAAAGGAUGCAAAAAUAUAAGGGAGCAUGAAGCUGAAUUGGCACUAACCUUGUUAAUAUUUUUCGUAGUGGACAAGACAAAUACUACACAGGCCAUCGCCACACCCAGUUUCGCUAGCUCAUCGCAGAUGAUGCGAUGUUUGACAACAUAUACAUUCUAAACGGACACUCAAGGCCCAUAGGGUGACCAGCGUUGCUUCCAUGUUAAUAUGGGCCCAUAGGGUAUGAAAGUUUUUCUUCUGUGAGUCCCUAUCAUGUGGAACCCACGUCAGCUGUCGUGAUUGCGUUGGCUUUCAGCGACCGAAUACAUCGAAUCGGGGUUUUCGAGCAUUCUCUCCUUAUUUACCUUGAGUACCCCAAACCCAUUGAGGUCGCCUGCCGACGCUCUCUAGUAGUCGUCCAGGUGCUUGGGACAUCCUUCUUCUGGCUAGAGUCGCUUUGGCAUCGAUCCUUUGGACAUUUGGUUCAAUCCCCCAAGAGCGUCUAUCACUGCCCCUACCGCAGAUACUACCGAAAAGAGUUCUGGCAUUGAGCGAGCAUUUUCUUGGACUAUCCUGAUCAAACAUCUCGCAUGCCUCAUUCUACCUUUGAAAACUGAAAUUUUAUCCAGGUACAAUAGAUCCGUGGGAAGUCAUUCCUUUGCCUCAGAAACCCGCAAUUCCCAGAUAGAAAAUCCUAUUUCCCGCUCCUCUAGUUUCUUAAACCAGCGCUGUUUCUAUUUCCAGCAGGGAUACUCCCGAAAAAAGGGCUUUCAUUCAAAGUGGAAAGAAAGAGACCGGUUUGUUCUCCCUCUUUGCCUAUCAGUUAAGUCGAUUGUAGGUCCCCUCCCAGGCCUCGCAACCAAGAGUCACUUGUCGAAAGUUGACCAGGAAGACAAGAACUAUCGAGCCUGGAAUAGAUAGAUGAAACUCUAAAAUGUUUCACCUUCUUCUAUGGUCAUUCUUAUUUUCAUGAAGUUGAAAUUGUGCUCGCACAUGUAAGCUUAAUCAGGUUUGUGGACGUCACAACCCCGAUUGUCCUGUAUCUCUUCAACAUGCAAGCACUUCGUUAGGGCUGGUGUUUUUUUUUGGAAGUGGGUUCACUGUUUACGCCUCCAUAGAAUCCGGCUAGCUCAAAGAGUCCCCAGAUUACGUCGAGUUGCUCCUGGCACCUUGCUAGGCACGAUCUAUGGUUUUCUCCUCAUUCCAGUGAUGUCAUAAAUGAUUGGGACCGUUCACCUAGAACGGAAAAUCAUUGAAGGGUAGUGAGGAAGGAGUUGGGCGUUUCCUAACUUCCAUUGCCUACACCAGGGGACGUUCCACUUACAUUGCACCCAUGAUAAUCACUAAAGUCGAAAAAAUAGCUAAAUAAUUUGAAUUUGCGGGCUCGGCUGCGACCAAUUGUUUAGUGUGCUUAUUUGGUGGCCAAAUGACAUCCGAGGAGCUCUUUACAUAUAAACAUAUCAAAUUUGGUCCUCAAAGUUAUGUACGCAUAGCUUGAGCAAAAGUUGUAUUUUGUAUAUAUGAAGCUCAUUUGAUAAUAUUUGGUCACCAAACUAUGCAAGCACCUGAAACACUUGUUCAAUAAUGCCCCAAAGUUUUUUUCUAUUUUUUAUGAUUUUACUCUUUAGCGUGGGUAAAUUGCACUUCGGUGUAGCCACAACUUUUCCUUCCCUUCCCGCAUCUCUGAUGGUAGCAAGCUCGAGGUACCGGUCAGGAGUUUUUAGCUGGAAGGAUGUGGCGAUCGUGACUCCAAGGUCAUAUCUAUCCAGGGGUACUAUUCUGGGGACAAAGCCAUUAGGAGUUGCUUUUGACCGUGAUCCUUUUGACCAGUUAUCGCAAUGCCCAAACUUUGCUACAUUAACAUACAUGAAUUUGUAUGACAGUGGGAAGUAACAUCGAAUUAUGAAAAUGAUACAGGGAGACAAUCUUCCCCUUUCGGCCCCCACGAUGCAAAUAACAACCUUACUCCUACUUGUCUAGAAUUAUAUGUAUCAACAGGUAUAGUGUGUGUGAGGGGGUGAGGGGGAUCCUGCAAGCCUUGUACACUAGGUUUCUAGCACAUUUGGUGACCAGUCUUGACCAGAUGUGCAAGUUCAGAUCUAGUCUAGGCCUGAAGCUAGGGCUUCCAUUCAGUCAUCUUGGCCCUCCAAGCAGAAGUUGUCACCUCUUGUUCAGGUGCUAAUGUAUUUAUAAAUGGUUUGGGGUCAGAUGGACGCCUUCCUUUCCUAGCCUUCCGUUCGUGAAAAGCUUUAUAAUUCCACUGUCAUGACAUGUCCUCCCUCCUUUAAAGGAGUUCCUGGGGGACCCGUCAUCCUAAUUUCACUGCUAGGAGUGACCCUCCGUGGGAGUUGGUUUGACAUUCAUGAAAGUUUCCUUCAGGCUUACACGGCUUGGCAUGGGCCCGAUCCACCACUUUCCAAAAACAUAUGACCUACCCGUAUACUACACCUUCACCCAUGGUGAGUAAACAACCCCUUGGUUGCCCGCUCCACCAGAUACGUGCUGCCAAAAGCAACUCCUGAUGUUCUGUAGCUGAAGUGAUGACAAGAUCUGAACCCGGUGGAUACUUGAGCAGAUAACUUGGAGAGGAGAAUAUAUCUUCUUUCUUAAAAUUUUGCAUUCGUUAUAUAUUUCUCUCAAAUUUUUCUAAAACUAAUUUUUUUAGUACAAAUGAAAUUUCCAUGUAACAAUUUGCGUAAAACAUCAUCUACACAACUAAUGAAUCAACUGGGAUGCAACAUGCAUAUAUCUAAUUAGCUCGUGGUAUUAUUUAAAUAUGUCAAGUUGAAUCAAUGAUAAAUAAAUAGAAAUAAGAAAUUAACUAUAAAAUAUUUCAAUAUUAAUUAAUGUGGAUGACAGGCAUAAUGUAACCAUGACUCCCUGACAGGUAGGUAGUACAAACGGCAGGGUUGAUUUUAUAUCCGUGUGUUGCUUCUGAUAAUUUACCUGUCGGCAAACAAAAAGAAUAAUGAUAGAUCAAACUAUGUGCUUUUGGUUAGCAGCAUACGCGAAACACAGUUGAAGAACUGUAAUGAUGGUAUGCCAUGAGAUGCUUUCCUAGGUGAGUAAUUUAUGAUCUCGAGAUGCCCUUCACACACUUACCUAAGUUGACAACUAACUCUAUAAUGCCAUUAAGACUUGAACACUAUUGUUUUAUACUAUUUUCGACUUAAUAUUGAAUCUUGGUGCCAUGGUGAUAGUAUAUUUUAGACUCGGAUCAUGGCAUACACAAGGAUCAUCUAUCGAUUAUUAAUUAAGUGCUAAAUUAUGUGGUGGCAAUAUAUGGACCUAGCUGGCUUGAGAUUUGCUACAUGCAGGGGAGUACGACAACAUCAAUUAUAUCAUGCAUGAUGAGAUUGAGCUUACACAAACUUGUAUUAUCAUGCGUCUACUUUUGAAAUAUACAUAAAAAGGAAGUAAAAUUUGUAGGAAAAAUUAUUGGCUGGUCAAAUAAUUUCAUUCUUCUGGAAUGUAUGACCAUAUUAAUAAUGAAGUACUUGAUUAGACUAACGCUUCUACUGAACCCUCACAGGUAAACGCCAUGAUGGUGUUGCAUCUACCCUUAUAUGCUUAUGUCUGGAACACAUGCUCUGCUUUUGGAUUUAUCUCCAUAAAAAAUACACUAUUCGAGGAAUCGUCAGAGUUUUCCCCGGGGUUAAAGUUUAUACUGAAAUUUGUAAUUUUGAUUAGCAGUAUAAGGGUCGGUAAAAUGCCAUUCAAGAUAUGUAUUGACGGUAACGCGCAAGGCUCUCUCAUAGGUGUGUAAUUUAUGAUCUUAAGAUGCUCUAUGCGCUCGUGGUUGUUUGGUUAAAUAAAAUUAGCCAUGAGUUUAUGGAAAAUUAGUUGUUAGCUGGUUUUUAGUAAAAUCCUUUUUGCUAGCAGUUUUGUGAAUAAUCAGUAUAGGAAAAAUAGUGUUAGGGAUUAGGAAACUGUAAAGACGGACAUGCAUUUACUUGUUUGGAUAAAAUUCCAUAUUCCUCUCUCUGUGAGUUGUGGAAGGAGGAUGGCAAGAAAAAAGUUUGGGGCGUGAGGAAGUUAGUUAGGAUCCCGUAUUGCUAUUGCGUUAAAAAAAACAAAUAGUAGUUUUUCUACAAAUGUAAAAUCGUGAGUUUACUUGAAAAAAGGUCUUCAUAUACGCGGGUUAGUUAGAAUAGCGAAGAAAGAUUCUAAUCGGUUAGACAGUUUUUCAAGUUUAUAGGAAUUGCGUUUUGUAUAUACUAUCUAUCCUACCAACCCUAGCUAAGUUGUGAACUCUAUAACGCCAUCAAUACUUGAACGUACUACAGUUCUGUCUUGUUUGGACUCCCGACUGAAUCAUGGUAGUUGUACAUUUUUUACUCAGUGCAUGUCACACACACCAUGAUUAUCUACUGAUUGUUAAGUGCUAGGUAUGUGUUGACAAGAUAUCCAACUAGUUGGCUUGAUAUUGGGUACAUGCAGGGGAGUACUCCAAAGUCAACUAUAUAUCAUGAUGGGAUCAAGCAUACAUAAACAUGUAUUAUCAUGCAUGUUCGUAUGAUAGUGCAGUAUCAGCUCUGAGAUCAUGAAUGGCAAACUGGAGGGGCUAAUUUAUGAGUGCGCGUGCUUAUAAAUAGGGUCUCUAGCUAGCUAGUACUCACAUCAACACAAGCACGAGAAAACACUUCCAUUUUUCUAGAUAGAGCUUUGAGCCGCAACAUCCGCCUUCCGCUCUUGCAAUGGCUUCCAGCUCCGUGCUUAAGAUGGCCGCCAUUUUCGUGCUGGCCGUAUUCGCCGGCCAGGCACUGAUGGCUACGCCGGCGAUGGCAGAAGGACUAGGUUACCGACACAACCUUUUGGAGAAGUACGAUGAGACGCAAUGUCGCGGAUACGCCACAUGCAAUAUUGUAUGCUUCUACCAAGUUUUUCAAGUCUGCAUCAUCUACAGCCCUGUUGCAUUCUGCAACACUUGGGCGUUUGGGUUCUGCAAGGACAAGAGAUACUGAGGCAUAAAUAGCAGUGCAGCUCCUUUUGGGAUGCAUGCACAACUACACGAGCAACUCACCUCAUCAGUGUCAACUAUUAUUGUUCCUUCGUUAUUUACGCUGUGCGUCGUAAGAGUCCUAAUAUGUUCCUCCCUUUAUUUCCAAUUAUCAUGUAUCAGUGGCUUAACCAACUAUUUAAUUCCUAUAUUGUCUGUCAUCAUGGUACUUGUUCAACUAAAAAUCCCCCGUCGAAUACAAAUGUAUGUGUCGUGUGAUUAUAAAAUGGUUCCGCCACUGCAACAUUUUUCAGUCCAUGAUGGCCAUAUAAGCAUGCUCUUUCCACCCUUACCCAUGAAAUAAAUAAAGCAAGAAAGAAAACAAAAAAAAAAUUGCCUCGUACUGGGCCCCCACGGCCUGAAUACGACUAGAAACCCUACCAAGGGCCAGGAUUCGGGCCCGCAGUAGGCCCAGCAGGCCCAUCAGGCAAAGCAGUAGAAAAUAGGCCCGCAAGCCUACGGUGGACAGGAGCUCGAGAGGGGUGCGGCAGUGGGGCUUAUAAACCACUGUGUUUCCCCCUUAGCUAGCGAGGUGGGACUAAACUUUGGCCCCGACGCUGGCAGCACAGGGUCCUUUGGUACCGGUUUGUGGCACCAACCGGUACCAAUGCCCACCCUUUAGUCCCGGUUGGUGCUCUUUCUAUCUUCUCUAUUCCUUUCUUCUUCUCCUCUUUUUAUCUCUUCUUCAUUUUCUUAUGUUUUAUCGGGUCUGUCACCGUCAGGCUGCUCGCCUUCGCCCUCGCCGCCCCCUCGAGAUAACUUCAACAUGAGGGGCGGUCGAUAUAUAUACCCCCUCUCAACCGUGAUAACCUAUACAAGGCAGCACCCCCCUCGUCCCUCUCGCUCGACCAAAACUCUCGAGGCCACCCAAAUUUACCAAGUUAAAAGAGCGUUGUCAUCGAGGCCACCCCAAACCCUUGAAGCGUUGUGUCGAGGCGAUCCCAAACCCUAGAGAAGCAGUGUCGAGGCCACUAACAUGAUUCCUUAUUGUGAUUAGCUAGCUAGUUCUACGUUGGCCACUAAUAUAUAUCCAUCUGUACCAUGUUUUUGAAUAAUAAUUGACAUGUUGUAAAUAUUUGCAGAAACUAUGGAGCCCUACCGAGACGAAGCAACAGAAGCGAUGUUGGGGGAGAUGAUCGCAGAAGGAACUGAUGUUGUUGCGUCAUUUUUCAUCGACGUUGUUGGUGAGGAAGGACUGGGUGAAGAAGAGGGCUAUGUUCAUGAUGGCUCCGGCCCAUUAAUCCCGGUACAAGAAGAGGGCUAAGUUCAUGAUGGCUCCAGUGAUGACCCAAUGGAGGUACAAGAAGGAGACCGUGCUGACUGCUCCGGUGACCGAACCGAGUCCGGCCAGGUAUAUAUAUAUAUUAGUUAACCCCGUGUUGACUAGUUAAUUGAUGCAUUCAUUGUUUUGGUAUAUGUCCACGUAUUAAUUACUCUCGUCUUUCUUCCCUUUAAUUUCUAGCCCUCCGGAUCGAGCAUAACUUCGGUAAGGAGACGAGGCCCGAAGAAAAAGUUGAGCUCGGAUGAAAGGUUUGAGAUCAUAGAAAUCGCGCCCGACGGCGAACCGAUUGAACCCAUCCGUACAAAGAACGCAUUUUCUGCUCAGUGCGGGGUUCCUGUUAGGGACAAGAUCCCGAUCAGCAUCCAACAAUGGUAUAAGCCUAAGGCCGACCCUGAGGUGUCUUAUGUCAAUGCUAUAUAGAAAGAAGAUCUUUGGACUCAGCUGAAGGCAAAUUUCACCCUACCGCCAGAGGAGGAUCCGGAGAAGCCAGUUAAAGAGAAAUUAAUCAAGUCUUGUGCUCUUAAAAAGAUGGCAACCCUAUUCAGGAGGUGGAGGAAAGAGUUUCACCAUUUUGUCGAAAAAAAGACACCAGAAUUCAUCGGCAAAUAUGAGAAGAUCAAAGAUCACUGGCCCGUAUUUGUGGCCCACAAGACAUCGGAAAAGAGUAAGAAGAUGUCGGCGACGAACAAGCAAAAUGCUGCGAAGAAGAAGCUUCACCAUCGCACAGGGUCAGGUGGCUACCUCAAAGCCCGGCCUAAGUGGUCCAAGGCUGAGAAUGAUCUGCUUGAAAAAGGGAUCGAACCAGAGACAAUGAGAUGGCCAGACCAUUGCCGGACUUGGUUCUUCGGGGCUGGCGGAACCUUGGACCCUGUAUCAGGGAUGUGCGUUGGACGGACGAGCAACUGGAAAUACCAGUCAAGAACCUUCGACACUAUAUCAAUGCAGCGCAGAAAGGGACGUUCAUACCAGACAGGGAGAAGGACGAGCUCACAAUGGCCCUCGAGAAUCCUGAGCACCCUGGAUGGACACGAGGCACGCCAGGCUCCAUUCCGUGGAAGGUUGGUUUUCCGGACGCGGGGGGUUACAAAACCCACGAGAGGAGGAAGAAACUGGAGCAGGGCCAACUGCAGGCGCUGCACGAAAGGGUAAUGGGGCUAGAGGAACGAGAAGAGGAACGAGAAGCAGCAGAUCGCAGCAAACGACCUGCCGAAGCUUCCCCGAAGCUACCCCGCCAUCUCAGCGGAGAAGCAGCGUGGCUUCCACCGAGCUGCUUCAGCCGGAGCAUGUCUUGAUGUCUCCUGCCAGCUAUCCCGUGGAUGCUAUCACAGAGUCUCAACAUUGCCACAUUAUGGCGCGAUGGAUGAAUUUGAAGGUCAAGGCGGCUGUUGGCUCUGUUUAUCCUAGUGGAUCCGGAGCAACUUAUCACUGCCGGCUGAUUCCAGAAGUAUAUGCUAAGGUGAUGGUGGAUAAAAUAACGGAGGGAUUUGAGGACCUCGUGCUUGACCACCCUACCGGUGAAGGGGAGACUAGGUUGGGUUCUGCUCUGAAGACUCCAUGCCUAUGGCGGAAGGAGCUUAUCAACCUUCCGAACUGGACGCCUCCGCCUCCUCCUCCUCCUCCGGCGAGUUAGGGCACUCCGCCUCCUCCACCGCCUCCUCCUCCGGCGAGUGACGAUCAGGGCACGUGUGGCGGCACUCCGCCUCCUUCUCCGGCACAUGGCGGCACUCCGCCUCCUUCUCCGCCUGCGCCGGCGCUCCCGAGCAGCCAACACCCUCCUCCUUCUCCGCCUCGCCAGCAAGGGCGGAAGAGACCCGCCGCCGCCCCGGCUGCUCCGGCACGUCGUACUCCUUCUCCUCCGCCUCGUAAGCAAGCACGAAAGAAGACAGACGCCGCAGCCGCUCCGUCUGCUCCGGUGUCUAGCAGCAUAACCAGAGGCGGGAGGCAAUACAGAUACGGUCCACCUCUCAAGCCUCUAGAGAAGUUACCGUAUGAGAGGACCGAUGAGGAAAACGAUACGAUUGUGCGGACCCAUGUGAAGGAGUUCUUUAAAGGGGUGAAAGCAAAGAGACAUCCACCUCCAGAGGAGAAGGUAGAUCCGGUGAAAGCAAAGCGCACUAUCGAUGCCUUGAGGAAACCACCAAAGUCUCCGCCGAGAACCAACUAUAAGCGCAUUACUGAACAGACAUAUCUCCAAGCCCAACGGUCGGGAACUACUGUCAGUGCUAAAAGGUUAAAAGAAUGAGCAAAGGGGAAAAAAGUUGCCCAGCUCGGCGAACAAGCACAGCAAUCGUGCCCCCGCUCAAUGUGUCUAAUGCUCCGGGGAUGGUGGCCGGUUAUGGCAAUCUUGCAGAUUACCUGCCUGACGAUCAACUUCCUGAUUUCUUGGAGGUGGACGAACACAGAUACGAGUACGGGAAGCCUCUCGUCAAAGAUGAAAAAUCUCUGACAACAAUGAUGCGAAGAUUCCAUAAUUGGUACAUGGAAACCUACAGAGAGUCUGGGGGUACGAAUGCUUUGUAUCUGAAUAUUAAAGAGGAGCACGACCUCGUUGCAAAUGAUCUGUUGACUGUUCCAUUUGAUGAGUUCUUCGCGUUCUUCAAUCAAAAGGCCCUCGAUAAACUAAUGGUCUUUUGCUACUUUCUGUGAAUACUAUUUCUGUCAUUAAGUCUCUAUAUAUAGCUCGGCUCUUUCAUUUCAUGUAUUUAUAAUUAAUUAUCCUCAAUAUAUUAUGCAGAUUGAAGAUCGUCUAGUGCAAAAAACAAGAAAUUUAUGAUAUUGGGUUCAUUAACACAAAUAUCAUAGAUGAAUUUCUGGUUAAAAAGGACGUCAAAGAGGCCGAGGACAACGUGCUACAAUCGUUGAUCAAAAAUCAAAACAAAGAUACCAUACUCUUUCCUUACAACGGCAAGUGAGUGUUACUGUCGUGUGCAUAUUCGGUUUCCCUUAUUACUCGAGCGAGGUUAUAGUAAUGUAAUUGAUGAGUUAUGCAUGCGUGUGCAGGUACCACUAUAUUCUUCUGGAGAUUAAGCUUGAGCGUGGACUAGUAACCGUCUUAGACUCGAGACGGAAAGAUCCCAAAACCUAUGCGAACAUGACUGAAAUGCUCAGCAAGUAAGUUCAAUCGAACAUUAUCGCACCAUAUCGGCAACUUUUUGUUCAUUUCAUGAUAUCUCAAGUAAUAAUAAUUAUUUUCUUUGUCUUGCAGGGUUUGGAAACAGUUCACCGCACAAGCUCCGGGACUGCCGAAGGAGCUGCGAUAUACAUACCCGAAAGUAAGUACUACUGGCUAGCUAGUUGCACGCAUCUCCCGUUGAUUCUAUAGCUAUACUUUCAUCAAUGCCAUUUAUAAUGCUUCAUUAUCAGUUUGAUUGACCUCUAUUUCUCGUAAAGUGCUUGUGGCAGGAAGAAGGGAAUGAUUUCUGUGGAUACUACGUGUGCGAGUUCAUCCACAACGCGACUUUGAAAAACAAGCGGGGCUACUCUCAAAGACAAUAUGAAGUGCAUAAGCAAUAAUAUUCACAAUUUCAUUUUAUUACACCAUCAUUUCUGUUGAGUUUCAUUCAUACAUAUGUAUUAAUUAACCCCCUUCUUCAAAUUAGACGUGGCAGAUGCGGAAUGAACUCCUAGAACCAGAUCGCAUGAAAGCAAUUCAAGAGGAAUUGGCGGGAUUCUUUCUUGACCACGUCAUCAAUAAAGCCGGAGAAUACCAUGUGGAAAUUGAUUUCAAUUGCUAGGGGAUUGUAAUUAAGAGAUCUUAUACAUAUUGUACAUGUAUGUAGCCAGUAGCGUCGGAUACAUGAUAUACGAAAACUUGUUGUUCCACCAAUCUCUCGGAGAAGGAGAGGUCGAUCGAUCACUUCUCUCGGUAUGCAUGACGAACUUCUGUACUCAAUGGUUCUCUCGAUCACUUAUGUAUAUAUAGUAUGUAGCGUCGACCAAGCACGGACAUAAGAGAGGACACUUCUCUCUACUAAUUAGCUAGCUAACACAAUAUAUGAAACACCUAAAUUAACCCCCCAAAACCCCCAACCCCCCCUCCUUUCAAAAAAAAACAAAAACCCCAGCCACUGGAAGGCUGACGCGUGGAUGCCUUUUGGUCCCGGAUGGUACCACCAACCGGGACCAAAGGCCCCCUAACUGGGCUCGGCGCACAAGGCCACGUGGAGGCACAUUGGUCCCGGUUCAUGUUUGAACCGGGACUAAUGGGUGGAGGUAUUAGUAACGACCCAUUAGUCCCGGUUCAUGAGCCGAGACUAAAGGCCGUUACGAACCGGGACUAUUAGGUGUUUUUCUACUAGUGUGGGAGGAGGGCUGCCGACGGAGGAGGGAGGAGGGACGAGGGGGCGGCCGGAGGAGGAGGGAGGAGGGGGCGGCUGUAGGAGGAGGGAGGAGGGCGCGGUGGGAGGAGGAGGGAGGGGAGAAGGGAGGAGGGAGGAUGAGGGAUGGAGAGAGUACCUCGGUGGAGGAGCAGCGCAGCAGCGGCAGCGGACGAUGGCAGCGGUGGACGACAGGGCGUACGGGGGAGAGUGACUAAGAGGGAGAGUGAGUGAGAGGGUCGGCCACGUGGGGAGGAUAAGGUAGGGUUAGUAGUAGCGCGGGUUCGUGAAAAGCGCUGCUGGUAUGGAGCAUAACAGUAGCGCUAGGUACGGGUACGCGCUACUGCUAAGUGGGGCUAGCCAUGUGCCCCCGGUUCAAACUUAGCAGCAACUCGUUUUGCUAGUACGCGCUACUGCUAAAAUGAUAGCAGUAGCGCGGUUUAUUUACACGCACUACUACUAAGUAGCAGUAGCGAGUGAGUUUGUCCAUCGUUACUGCUAAGAUGUUGUGUAUAAGGUUUUCCCUAGUAGUGUAAUAAUGAAGUACUUGAUUAGACUAAAGCUUCUACUGGACCCUCUCAGGUAAACACCAUGAUGGUGUUGCAUCUACCCUUAUAUGCUUAUGUCUGGAACACAUGCUCUGCUUUCAGAUUUAUCUCUAUAACAAAUACACUAUUCGAGGAAUGGUCAGAGUUUUCCCUGGGUUUAAAGUUAAUACUGAAAUAUGUAAUUUUGAUUAGCAGUAUAAGGUUUGGUAAUAUGCCAUUCAAGAUAUGUAUUGACAGUAACGCACAAGGCGCUUUCAUAGGUGUGUAAUUUAUGAUCUUAAGAUGCUCUAUGCGCUUGUGGUAGUUUAGUUAAAUAUAAUUAGCCAUGAGUUUAUGGAAAACUAGUUGUGAGCUGGUUUUUGGUAAAACCCGUUUUGCUGCCAGUUUUGUGAAUAAUUAGUAUAGGAAAAAUAGUGUUUGGGAUUAGGAAACUGUAAAGAUGGACAUGCCAUUUACUUGUUUGGAAAAAAUUCCAUAUUCCUCUCUCGGUGAGUUGUGGAAGGAGGAUGGCAUGAAGAAAGUUUUGGGUUAGAUAGUUUUUCAAGUUUAUAGGAAUUGUGUUUUGUAUAUACUAUGUCGGUGUACUAGAAUAGGGGUACCCUAGUACCCCGAACUUGUGCACGGGCAGUUGCAGCACCCCGCGGCAAGGCUUGCCGGGCUAACACCAAGAUCCUCCGUGGUUCCCUUGGAGCCAUUCAAGAACAAAGUAUUUAAGCUCAGGAGACAAGGCCCCGGCAAGAGGAGCUUGCCGGGAAGACCAACCAAGGUACCUCGAGGCCCGGUGAGCGACAAGCUUCCGGACCCGACAAGAUAACAGCAGCGGCAAGGCGCUUGCCGCGGCAGGCGGCCACUCUGUGCCCACGCUCCAGCGCAUCCACCAACGUGUCGCUCUGGGGGCCUCUCCAGGCGCGCGUGGCGGGAGGCUGUGCAGCCAGCGGUACGCAGUCGCAUGCGAAGCUGACAAGAUCGCCAUCGUGGCGAACGGUGGCGCCCCUAACGGUCCUUUUCUGCACUGUUUGGGCGACUCAGACGGGCAUUUAAUGCCCUUGUCCCCUGCCGUCAGGGUUAGGUAGGGUGCGCUGUACAAGUAACUGUACCAACCACCUCACUUUUUACAUUUGUACCCUUCUCUGUGUUGCCACCUGUCGGUGACCCCUUUAGCGUAUAAAAGGAGGCCCAUGUGCAACGUAGAGGGGGGUUCAGUUCGACUGGUUCGCGAAGUUCGACUCAUUCGUAACCCAGAAAAACACUACGCUCUCUCUCUAGAGCAAGAACACAAGAUAAUCAAACAAGCAGCAGUAGGAGUGUUAUCUCUCCGGAGAGCUCCGAAGCUGGGUAAACUGCUCGUGUGCUUCGCCUCGAUCUGCUCUUCGUGCAAUCUNNNNNNNNNNNNNNNNNNNNNNNNNNNNNNNNNNNNNNNNNNNNNNNNNNNNNNNNNNNNNNNNNNNNNNNNNNNNNNNNNNNNNNNNNNNNNNNNNNNNNNNNNNNNNNNNNNNNNNNNNNNNNNNNNNNNNNNNNNNNNNNNNNNNNNNNNNNNNNNNNNNNNNNNNNNNNNNNNNNNNNNNNNNNNNNNNNNNNNNNNNNNNNNNNNNNNNNNNNNNNGGUCCGCCGGCCCCAUAGGUGUUCGUGUGGAUCAGUUUCCCCCGACAUCUUUGGCGCGCCAGGUAGGGGGGCGUCGAGAUUGUGGGAACCUGAUCCGGCGUUCACACGAGCUAGAUCUUCAUUCCCUUCAUCAACAUGCCACUGAAGAAGAAGACUUCGGCGACAGCCGCUUCGUCCAUGUCACUUCCGCCACCGUUGGAGCAAACGGGUGGUGGAAUGGACGCCGGCGGAAGAAUGGACGUCGACGAGGAAGCUCAUGAUGCUACCAGGUGCAAGAGCAAGGCUGCACAAACCUCGGCGACUGUACAUGUUCCACGCCACACUCAGGAGGCGCAAGACCAACAGCGUCAUGGCACUUGCAGUGCCAUACGCAUGAUAGGCCAAGACCAAGCUGGUGGAUCUCAGGGCGCUCAAGACCAGCAUGCACGCCAGCGUGCUGGCACGAGCGGGGCAUGGUCGCCUGGACGGGAUACUGCUCCUUCUAACAUAGUUAGAAGUCCGAGCACGUCCCGCUCCUCGCGCCGUCCGCCACUGCCACCCACCACUCCAGUAGAAGCUUUGGCGCGAGCUCAACUUCUCCUAGAUUACCCUCCGAUGUCGGACAAGAUCGACGAAUGGAGGGCCACCAUUCAGAGUCUCAUCGGCUACGCCAACGGCGACACUCCACGGCGGUCGAGCGCGUCGCCGCCGCGGCAGGGUUGCCGGGCGUGAGCUGGUGGCGACGAAAUGGGUGGAGGUGCAACUACCAUGCAAUCACCACCCCGAAGGCCAAGAUCGCCGACUCGCCGGAUCCACCUCGACAGCGACUCCACCGCAUCUUCGGAUCCACGAGCUCGUCGCGAUCAGCGCCAAGUUCUUCAUGAUCGACAACAAGAAGACGCUCGAACUCGCAUCGAGCGCCCAAGAGAAGCGCGACGUCAAUCCGACAAGCGCGCUGGGCCCUCUGUUGACAUGCAUGUGCCAGGGUAACCAGGCGAUCUGCCGUACGUGGUAGGUUGCCCUGCGUUCACUCGUGAGCUGCGGCAAGUCCAGUGGCCCAGCACAAAGAACUUCAAGCCAGACGUACCGGAGAAGUACGACGGCAAGACGCAUCCGUCGGAGUUCCUCAGCAUUUACACCAUUGCGGUGCAGGCUGCUGGGGGAUGGGAUGACAAGAUCCUUGCCAACUACUUCCCGCUGGUACUCAAGCCCAACGUCAGGUCCUGGCUCAUGCACUUGCCGGACAACUCCAUAUCCUCUUGGGCUGAUCUGUGCCAUCAGUUUGUCGGUGCCUUCACAGGCGGCCACAAACCUCAUGGCCAGGAGAGUGAUCUUCAUCUUCUUGCCCAGAAGGAAGGAGAGCCCCUGCGCAAGUACAUUCAGAGAUUCAGCAGUGUGCAGCACAACAUCCCAGACGUCCACCCUGCCGCGGUGAUCAGCGCGUUCCAUCAGAACAUGCGAAACCGCAGGAUGCGGGAGGAAAUGGCGAUGUGCAAGAUCAGGGACGUCAGUGAGUUAUAUGCACUGGCCGACAAGUGUGCACGUGCUGAGGAAGGGAGGAGACUCCCCGGAGAGAAUGUAGGAGCGGGAGGAUCUGACAGUGAAGAUGCUGCCCCGGCAAGGAAAAACCGGCGGCGGAACAACAGAAGGAGGAAAGGCAAAGAGGUGCUAGUUGUUGAGCAGUCCGGCAACGGUGGUGGCACCAAGGAAGCCAAAGCUGGUGACUCCGGCAAGGAGGUUGCCGCGGAGGUCGCGGUCGCCGACAAGCAGGACGACACCAACAAGCAGUAUUGCAAGAUCCACCGCACCAAGGGCCAUGAUCUCCAGAACUGUAAGAAAGUCGAGCAGCUUGUUGAGCAACAGAAAGCUGAAUACGAGCGGCGCGACAAGGAGAAGGCCCAGGAAGGUGCUGGAGGAUCCGGCAAGAAACGUCCCGGCCGAGGAGGACGACGCGGCAAGGCCAAGCAGCGGCAAGGAGACAGACCUCCUCGCGGCCGCGACAAGGAUGAAGAUGACGACGACGAUGAAGACAUGGAUGAUGAGGAGACUGAUGAGCAGGAGUUCCAGAAAGCCACAGAGGUCCUGUGCAUUGACGGUGGUGCUUCUCUGCACACCUCGCACCGCCAGCUCAAGCAGUGGGUGCGGGAAGUUAAUGCAACAGAACCACCCGUCGAGUCACGCAAGCCUCUGAAAUGGUCCAGCACGCCUAUCAUCUUUGAUAUUGAGGACCACCCUGAUCGCAUAACUGCGGUCGGGUGCUUGCCGAUGUUGGUUUCACCAACAAUCCGCAACCUCAAGGUCACUAAGAUGCUAGUUGACGGCGGGGCCGGCUUGAACCUGGUCUCCUCCGUGGUGCUCCAGAAACUCCAGAUCCCUGACAGCGAGCUCGAAGAGACCGGUACAUUUCAAGGAAUCAACCCGGGAAGAAGCAAGCCGAAGGGAAAGAUCACGUUGCCGGUAACAUUUGGCAGCGAGCUGAACUUCAGGACUGAGAGGGUCACAUUUGAUGUUGCUGACUUUCCAUUACCUUACAAUGGAAUCCUUGGCCGUCCGGCACUCGCCAAGUUCAUGGCAGCCUCUCACUAUGCGUACAAUGUACUGAAAAUGCCAGGCCCGAUAAGUGUCAUCUCUUUCCCUGGAGACAAGAAGGAUGCUCUUAUCUGUGCCGACAAGAUCUACCGGGAAGCAGCAGCCGCAGCAGAACGCAAGACACUUGCCGCUGAAGCUCCCGGGGGGAAGAAGAAGACCAAGUCCGGCCAGAGUUCUGAUGCCCACUCCGGCAAGCGCACCUCUUCGGAGUGCUGCGCUACCGUCGAGGACGCACCAUCGUGCUCCACCGGCAAGUGUAAGAAGGCAAUGACAGCUCCACCUGAGACCAAGAAGGUGUCCGCCAAGGAGGACGGCGCUGGUGGUACCUUCACCAUCAGCGCCACUCUUGACCCCAAAUAGGAAAGCGUGCUCGUUGCUUUCCUACGGGCGAAUGUCGACGUGUUUGCGUGGCAACCGUCUGAUAUCCCUGGUGUUCCCAGGAAAGUAAUUGAGCACCACCUUGCCGUCUGUCCUCAUGCGCGGCCCGUCAAGCAGAAAGUCAGGAAACAGGCAGUGGAGCGCCAAGAAUUCAUCGCAGAAGAAAUCAAGAAGUUGGAAGCAGCAGGCCUUGUCAGAGGAGUGCUCCAUCCCACAUGGUUGGCCAAUCCUGUUGUCGUGCGCAAGGCUAACGGGAAAUGGAGGCUUUGUAUUGACUUCACUGAUGUUAAUAAAGCUUGUCCCAAAGACCCAUUUCCCUUGCCGCGCAUUGACCAGAUUGUUGACUCCACAGCCGGAUGUGAUUUGCUUUCAUUUCUUGAUGCAUACUCAGGAUACCAUCAGAUCUUCAUGGCAGAAGAGGAUGAAGAGAAAACCGCAUUUAUCACCCCGUGUGGCACGUAUUGCUUCAUACGGAUGCCUUUCGGUUUGAAGAAUGCUGGUUCAACAUUCGCAAGGGUAGUCCACCACGCUUUUGAGCCGCAGAUGCACAGAAAUGUGGAAGCCUACAUGGAUGACAUAGUGGUCAAAAGCAGGAACAGGGCGACCCUGAUUCAAGAUUUAGACGAGACAUUUGCAAAUCUGCGCAGGAUCAACCUCAAGCUUAACCCCGAGAAGUGCGUGUUUGGAGUCCCAUCCGGCAAGCUUCUCGGGUUCUUCGUGUCUCAGCGGGGAAUUGAAGCCAAUCCCGACAAGAUCAAGGCCAUUGAGCAGAUCGAAGCACCAAAGCGCGUCAAGGAUGUAUGAAGGCUUGCCGGUUGCGUGGCUGCUCUCAGCAGAUUUAUCUCUAGAUCUGCUGAGCGCGCCCUGCCAUUUUUCAAAAUUUUGAAAAAGGCAGGUCCAAUGAAAUGGACUUCGGAGGCGGAGGCUGCGCUGCAGGACUUGAAGAGAUACCUGUCCUCCACUCCAAUACUUGUCGCACCUAAGCCGCAAGAGAAGUUGCUGCUGUAUAUAGCGGCAACCAACCAAGUGGUUAGUGCUGCGUUAGUGGCGGAGAGGGAGGCAGAUGAUGAGCCAGCAACCACGGCAGAUGCAUCCAGCGACAAGCAGGGGGCUUCGCCGACAAGCUCUGGUCCCGACAUAGAUGGAUCUGCGCAGGAGCAUGAUAAGAUGCAGAAGAGAAUGGUGCAGCGUCCAGUUUACUUUGUCAGUUCCCUUCUAUAGGCGGCUAGAUCAAGGUACUCUGGUGUGCAGAAGUUGCUUUUCGGCCUCCUCAUGGCCUCGAGAAAGCUGCGCCAUUACUUCCAAGCACAUGAGAUCACAAUCGUCACUCGCUUUCCGCUGAAGAGGAUACUGCAAAAUCCAGAAGUGACAGGCAGGAUUGUCGAGUGGGCGCUGGAACUGUCAAGCUUUGGCCUCAAGUUUGAGAGCACUUCAACUAUCCAAAGCAGGGCAUUGGCAGAGUUCAUAGCAGAAUGGAUGCCAACACCAGAUGAAGAAAUUCCAGAGACGAGCAUCCCCGUCAAAGAGGCAAGCAAAGAGUGGCUGAUGUACUUUGAUGGUGCCUUCUCGCUGCAAGGCGCCGGUGCGGGCGUGCUGCUUGUCGCGCCCACCGGAGAGCACCUCAAGUACGUAGUCCAGAUGCACUUUCCCAAGGAGCAAGCAACCAACAAUACUGCAGAGUAUGAAGGAUUGCUUGCCGGUCUCAGAAUUGCAGCAGACCUUGGGAUCAAGAAGCUCAUUGUCAGGGGUGACUCACAGCUUGUUGUCCGCCAAGUGAACAAGAACUACCAGAGUCCAUUGAUGGAAGCAUAUGUUGAUGAAGUGAGGAAGCUAGAAGAGCACUUUGACGGCCUACAGAUGGAGCAUAUCCCAAGAGCUCAGAAUGACAUUGCUGAUGGCCUGUCAAAGUGCGCCGCACUAAAGUUACCUGUGGAACCAGGGAUCUUUGUGCUCAAGUUGACUCAACCAUCCGUAACACCAUCAACUGGACAAAGCAAGAAGAGGAAGUUGAUUUCUGGUGACUACUUUCCGGCAGAGCUCCCCGAAGCCGCCGCCAAGAAAGUCCCCAAGAUCAACACCAAGGUUGCUGAGGGGCAGUCUGCUCCGGCAAGCCUUAUGGUUUGUUCCGUUGAAGCAGACGCUCCCGACAAGUUUUGCUCCGGCAAGCUUGCCGGGGAACAUCAAGCUCCGGCAGGGCAGCAAGUCCUUGCCGUGGAAGCGGAUGUUCCCGCAACAGCAGAUGUGCCUUUAGUCCUUGUUGUCGAGCCACAAGCUCCAGCAUGGGCACAGCAGAUUGUCCAUUUCCUUCAGACAGGAGAACUUCCCGAAGAGCAAGAAGAAGCGGAGAAAUUAGCCCGGCAGUCAAGUAUGUACCAGUUUGUCGAUAGCAUACUGUACAGAAGAAGACUCAACGGUGUGAAAUUGAAGUGUAUUUGCCGGGAAGAUGGACAAAAGCUGUUGGCAGAGAUACAUGGAGGCAUAUGUGGCCACCACAUUGGCGCAAGAGCACUUGCCGGCAAAGCUUUCCGGCAAGGUUUCUUUUGGCCGACAACCCUCCAGGAUGCAACUGCACAAGUAACCAAGUGUGAAGCAUGCCAGUUCCACUCCAAACAGAUACACCAGCCAGCUCAAGCUCUCCAGACGAUCCCUUUAUCCUCGGCCCUUUCCCCCGAGCUGUCGGGGGCUUUGAGUACUUGUACGUCGCAAUCGACAAGUUCACAAGGUGGCCGGAAGUGCAGCCAGUGAGGAAGGUGACAUCACAGUCAGCAGUCAAGUUCUUCAGGUCAAUUGUUUGCCGUUUUGGGAUCCCUAACAGGAUCAUCACCGACAACGGCACGCAAUUCAUGAGCCGCACCUUCAUGCAAUACGUCCAAGACCUUGGCGCCAAGGUCUGCUUCGCUUCUGUUGCUCAUCCAAGAAGCAACGGUCAAGCAGAGAGGGCAAAUGCUAAAGUGCUGCGCGGGCUCUAGACCAGAACUGUCGACAGGCUGCGCAAGUGCGGAAGAAACUGGAUCGAGGAGCUGCCGGUGGUUCUUUGGUCGAUCAGAACGACGCCAAAUCGAGUCACUGGCCAGACGCCUUUCACUCUAGUCUAUGGAGCAGAGGCAGUUCUCCCCACGGAACUCGUAUACGGAUCGCCUCAAGUGCUCGCUUAUGAUGAGCUUGAGCAAGAACAGCUGCGACAAGACGACGCGCUGCUCCUUAAGGAAGAUCGUCUUCAGGCUGCUGUACGAGCUGCUCGAUACCAGCAAGCUUUGCGCCGCUACCAUAGCCGCAAAGUUAAAGACAGAAGCUUCGAGGAAGGCGACCUUGUUCUUCGGCGUGUUCAGUCCGCCAAGAAUUCCAACAAGUUGACGCCGAAGUGGGAAGGCCCUUAUCGGGUGAAACGAGUCACAAGGCCCGGCGCUGUCCGCCUUGAGACCGAAGAUGGCAUUCCGGCGAGCAACUCCUGGAACAUAGAACAUCUUUGUAAGUUUUUCCCGUAGGGCCCGGUUGCCGGAACCCGUUCCGGCAACCACCUUUUGUACAAGUCUUGCCGCUGUUGCAUGUAAUCCUUUGUACAAAGCCGGGCGCAGAUCCCGUGCAUAAAUAAAACCCCAUGUGCUCCGCACAACUUGUCCAUUUCAUGCAUUAAUUUCUUUCUUGCAUGCGUUAUCUGACACUUUGUGCAGCACCUACAUCCGAUAAGCAAUAACGAGCCGAAGGGCUCCAUAUCAUUAUUUUCUCUUCUUUCUUCUUUUCAACAAAGGAAAAGAAGGUUCCCUUGCACACAAGUUUGCCGGGGGGGAAGGAGAAGAUUGUGGUAUGGACCAGGCGUCGUUCAAGAAAAGUUUUGCCUUGCCGGGAAGCAAACGACAGAAAAGCUAAGUUGCCAAAGUUUGAGCAAUCAGUUUUUAAAUUUUUGAGUUAUUUUCCUCGAACGACCCUGCUUUGUAUGGAAAACCUGUGCGCGGAGGGACCAACUCGUGGCUAGUUGCGCCCUUACUUUGUUUCGAGUCCGCUCAACAACUUAAGUGUGCUGCAUCUAGUCGCGACAAGGUUUCUUGUCGGAAGCAGCGCUGCCAGCAGGCUGCUGAAGUUCCGCACCCAGCGCUCGCGGCUCGGGUGCCUGCGCCGACAAGUUCCCUAGAAGUGUAGGGUAAAAGCAUACAAAGGAAGGAAUCUAGUAGAGGAAAUAACAUAGCAAUUGAUAACAGAAAUAAAGUUAUAUUACAAGAUAACUUGUCGCAGCUCUAACAGACUGUUUUCAUAACAUGAUUAGCAGCGACAAGGGAAAAGAAGAAAUGGGCAGCCUAGUCUACGCGUCCGCCCUCGACCCUCUUGAUCUCACUCACCUUGUCCACAAUGGGUGCGACAAGGGCCUUGAGCGCAUCCAGAUCGGCGUCAGGCGGCAAGGACCUGAGGACGUUGGUAAGGUUGAGGCCUGGGUUGCGGAAGGCCACCUUCAUCAGCACCUUCUGGAGAGCCCUCGUGCAAAUCCUGCGCGACUCAUCGGCCAGCUGCUUUGGGAUCCUCUCCCAGAGCCGCUGGAGUGCCGUCGCCACGCCCUUGAAGAACAUGCUGAGCUUGGCGCUGGGUUGGAGAUUCUCGUCGGAGGGAUACCCAAAGUCCUCCAUCCCCAGCUGCGCCAGCUCCUCGUCGAUGACUGCGGCAAUAUUCACCAGACCCUCGGUCCAGUGCUCCACAGUAUCUCUGAACGAGUUCUGGGUAACUGCGAUGCUCUCCAGCAGCGCCUUGUCAGCUUUGACCUUCUCUGACAAGGUCUUCUCCCGCUCCUUGGCGGCCUCCAGCGUCUGCAUCAGCGUGGCCAGCUUCAACUCCAGGACCGCAUUGGAAUCCUUGGCGGCGCUGAGCUCCUUGCCCCUCUCAGCGAGAAGACCUUGCAGCUCACCGUGGGCGGCAACAUCCUUCUCACGCUCACGCUUGAGCGCGGCAAGCUCCUCGCCGCUCUUCUCGAUGUUGGCCUCCAGCUGCGCCACCUUCUCCUCCAGCUCUUUCGUGGCAGCCUCUGUGAUUGCGGCAGCGUCCUUUGCCUCCUUGAGCACCCCGCCAAGUGCUUGCUCGCGCUCGGCGAGCUCCUCCUUGUAGCUGUCGAGGUUGGCCUUCCGCUGCACCAAUUCGCCUUCUCGCGCGGACUGCUUCUCGGCGGCCAACCUUUGUUCCUCCUCAGCUUCGGCCUUCUCGAGAAGGAAGGCCGUGCGCUCCUCGUCGAGUCGCUCCCGCUCCCGUGCCAAGGACCGGAGAGCUUCUUGAUUGUGGCCCCGGUGUUCCUCCGCGCGCUUCUCCAUGUCAACUCCCGCCUUCGCGGCAAGCGCUUCCCGGGAAGCCAGCUUGGCUUGCCGUGCGCGGUAGAGUGACAGCAGCUUCCGCAGCAGCUGCUCCUCCUCAGGCUCGCCACUGCUGCUGCUGGGCGCGUCGACCAACGACAAUCCAGCAGAGGCGAGCACCUCCUCAUCGAAAGUUUCCCCCUCGACCGGCACCCUGGAGCUCGAAGACCAGCGUAGCUUGAUGAAGAUAUCGUCACCGGCCUUCAAGUAGGCGCCGGGCUGGGGCUCCUCGGAGCCCGGCUUCGCAGAAGCGGCAGAGGGAUCGGCGGUUGGCGCAGCGCCUGGCGCUCCUGCGGCCUCAGGGUCGUCAGUGCGAUCGCCCGACCCCUCGCCGGCUUCUACGACGGCAGCCUUGGCGGCCUCCUCGCCGGCGGUCUCAUCAGCACCGGCCCCUUCCUCGCCAGCGCCCUUUGUCUCCAUUGGCUCAGCAGCAGAUGGGUCUGAAGAACGAAGAAGGGAGAAAAAUCAAUCAAAAAUCCAAGAGAAGAAAAUCAGAAGAAGAAGAACCCAAGGGAAAGUUUUUGGGCAAGUGAAUUACCUAUGCCAAGAUCUGCAGUUGCGGUCUCGGCCGCCGCAGGGUCGGCGGUGCUGCCCCUUGCCGGAGAGUUCUCCCUUGCCGGAGAGCGCUCCCUUAUCGGGAACUCCUCCCUUAGCGGCAUAGUCGAAGCAGAUGGCACUUCGGGACUAGCUUCCAGGCGCUCCUGAUAUGGCUGCUCUGCUCCUACACAAAUCAACAAGCAAGAUAUCAACAAAGGAAAAAGCACUCAUGUGCGCUUGACAGCAGAAAGCUAACUAUGAACUUACGCUGGGGGCUGUUUUGAGGAGUGGUUGCCGGGUCCGUCAAGGUGGUCUCGGACCCACCCCCUGCUGACAUAGUGGGGUCAUCUUCGAUGACAAUCACCGCGGCCUUGGCCCUCUUCGCCGCUCUCUGGGCUAGCAUCCUGAAAAGAAAGGAGUCCAGAUUGAAGCAGGCCAGAUACAAGAUAAAAACAGCAAGAUUGAAGAACUACAAGAGCACCAAGGAAACUUACUCUUCUUCCUCCUCGUCGGAGCUGAGCGCAGAAAUAUCAAAGUCUGGCUCCCUUCCGGUGCGGCGAGGCGGAGGAGCAGGAUCCCUUGCCCGCUUGGCGGGGGCGGUGGCGGUGGCCCGGGAAGAUCCCGCUCCAGUUGCCGCUGCUGCGUGGGGCGCUCCCGCGGUAACAUUGCUUGCCGCGGUAGAGCGUGUCGCACGGCUUGGCGGCUGUUGACCCGGCUGCCGCCCCGCUACGUCCGCGGCCCUACGAAGACGCCUUCUUGGCGGGGCCGGGGGCUCCGCCUGUGGCAAGCCUUCUGAAGGCUCGGGCUCUUCCUCGCCGGCCUCGCUCGGCUCAGCUUCAGAACCGGCAGGCUCUUCCUCGCCAAUGAACUCCGUGUGCUCGGCGAGGUUUGCCGCCUCUGCAGCCUCCGCCUCCUCCACAGUGAACCCGAACGCGCCCGCGGCAACUGCGGCCGCAACCUCUUCCGCCCUAGUGGUGAUGCGCUGCAGCUCCUCAUCGGUGGUGUCACGGGUGAGGCUCUUCUGAUCGUCAGCGUGGACCGGCACUUCUUCCAAGUUGUCGAAGAACGCUUGCACGACGUCAUCUGCAGGCUCUUGCCAAGUUGGAACGAUCCCGUGUGAAUCGCACAACGGCAUCAUGGCGCGGAUCCGGUCAAGCGAAGAAUUGUUGCACAAUGGAAUGACGCCCCUCGGCAGCGUGACUGGGUGCUGGGGGUCGCGUUUGAACAACUCCAGGAGCAUUGCAUCCAGCUCCAAGACGGUGAAGUUGUAGUUGAGGCCCGGCCGCAGCCUCAUGAUGUCCGCCGAGUUCUUGAAUUCCCAGGCGGGCCUCCCCCUCUCCUGCAGGGGGGCGAUGCGGCGGCGGAGGAAAUCUGCGCCUACAGCGCCUACAGUGAGCCCGGCAAGCCUGAGGCGAAGGAUCCUAGUAAUGGCGAUCUUCAGCCUCUCGUCUUCCGGGGCCACAUUGCUCCAGUCAUUGCCGCGCACUAUUGGAGCUUGGCGCACGACUAUGAAGGGCUGCGGAUUCUCCUCGACGAUCCAGCACCACUCCGCCCUCCACUCCUCCCACUUGCUACGGAGCUCACCCUCCAAGUACGCCUCCUUCUUGCCGACUCUCGAGAUCCAGGCGAUCCCACCGGCAAGCGGCUCUCCUCUCUCUACCCGAGGUAUGAAGAAGUGGUGGGAAAGGGCAACAUUGGGGUGGACUCCGAUAAAGUUUUCGCACAAAUGUGCGAAAACUGCCAUGGUCAGAACGGCGUUGGGGGUGAAGUCAAGGAGGCGGAAGCCGUAGGUGUUCAUGAUAUCGCAGAAGAACUCCAAGAAGGGCGGGUAGAGCCCGCAAUAGAAGAACAGCGCGAAGAAUGGGUACCCGUUUGGAGCCAGUUCUGAAGUAGCGGCCGGGAGUACCCUCGUGCGCGGAUGCACCCGCGUCUCCGUCGCCCAAAAGAGGUAGAAGUACUCCCUCAGCUCCUUCACGCCGAGCUGGGGGGAGAAGAUCACCCGCUCCUUUCGCAGCGCCGCGAGCCGCUGCGCCUCGGCCGACUUCACGCCCUUUCCCUUGUCGGCUUUCGGAGCCAUGGCGGAGGUGGUGGGGGAGGUCGACGGCGUUAGUGAUGCUGGUGGCAAUGGGGGGCGGAGCGCUGCUCUCUCGGCUUCGAGAAGAAGAGGGGGGGCGGCGGAGGUUCGUGAAGAUGGAGUAGUAGCAACCAGCAAGGGGGAAAGAACUGCCCCUGUUUCCUCUGCUUAUAAAGAGGGACGGGGCGGACGUUUCGCCCUUCCGAAUAAAGAACCACCCACGAUCUCUCCCACAAUGCCGCAUUGAACGCGUGCCGUUAGGGGAGAGCGCGGUGGACACGGAGCGAGAUUCGGCGUGGCCCAGUCCACAUGUGCCCGUGCCCUGUCUUGGGCCUGGCCCAACAGCGCUCGGCACCGUGUCUGGCCCAGGCCCGGGGGCUCCUGUCGGUGUACUAGAAUAGGGGUACCCUAGUACCCCGAACUUGUGCACGGGCAGUUGCAGCACCCCGCGGCCAGGCUUGCCGGGCUAACACCAAGAUCCUCCGUGGUUCCCUUGGAGCCAUUCAGGAACAAAGUAUUUAAGCUCAGGAGACAAGGCCCCGGCAAGAGGAGCUUGCCGGGAAGGCCAACCGAGGCACUCCAAGGAACUUGCCGCGACGCGCCACGCGCUCCGGCAAGGCAACAAGGCCCUGGCAAGAGGAGCUUGCCGGGAAGACUAACCAAGGUACCUCGAGGCCCGGUGAGCGACAAGCUUCCGGACCCGACAAGAUAACAGCAGCGGCAAGGCGCUUGCCGCGGCAGGCGGCCACUCUGUGCCCACGCUCCAGCGCAUCCACCAACGUGUCGCUCUGGGGGCCUCUCCAGGCGCGCGUGGCGGGAGGCUGUGCAGCCAGCGGUACGCAGUGGCAUGCGAAGCUGACAAGAUCGCCAUCGUGGCGAAUAGUGGCGCCCCUAACGGUCCUUUUCUGCACUGUUUGGGCGACUCAGACGGGCAUUUAAUGCCCUUGUCCCCUGCCGUCAGGGUUAGGUAGGGUGCACUGUACAAGUAACUGUACCAACCACCUCACUUUUUACAUUUGUACCCUUCUCUACGUUGCAACCUGUCUGUGACCCCUUUAGCGUAUAAAAGGAGGCCCAUGCGCAACAUAGAGGGGGGUUCGGUUCGACUGGUUCGCGAAGUUCGACUCAUUCGUAACCCAGAAAAACACUACGCUCUCUCUCUAGAGCAAGAACACAAAAUAAUCAAACAAGCAACAGUAGGAGUGUUAUCUCUCCGGAGAGCUCCGAAGCUGGGUAAACUGCUCGCGUGCUUCGCCUCGAUCUGCUCUUCGUGCNNNNNNNNNNNNNNNNNNNNNNNNNNNNNNNNNNNNNNNNNNNNNNNNNNNNNNNNNNNNNNNNNNNNNNNNNNNNNNNNNNNNNNNNNNNNNNNNNNNNNNNNNNNNNNNNNNNNNNNNNNNNNNNNNNNNNNNNNNNNNNNNNNNNNNNNNNNNNNNNNNNNNNNNNNNNNNNNGAAAGGGGCCCGGUCCGCCGGCCCCAUAGGUGUUCGUGUGGAUCAGUUUCCCCCGACAUACUAUCUAUCCUAUCAACCAUAGCUAAGUUGUGAACUCUAUAACGUCAUCCAUACUUGAAUGUACUACAGUUCUGUCCUGUUUGGACUCCCGACAGAAUCAUGGUAGUUGUACAUUUUGUACUCAGUGCAUGUCACACACACCAUGAUUAUCUACUCAUUCUUAAGUGCUAAGUAUGUGUUGGGAAGAUAUCCAACUAGUUGGCUUGAUAUCGGGCACAUGCUGGGCAGUACUCCAAAGUCAACUAUAAAUCAUCAUGGGAUCAAGCUUACAUAAACAAGUAUUAUCAUGCAUGUUCGUAUGAUAGUCCAGUAUCAGCUAUGAGAUCAUGAAUGGCAAACUGGAGGGGCUAAUUUAUGAGUGCGUGUGCUUAUAAAUAGGAUCUCUAGCUAGCUAGUACUCACAUCAACACAACCACGGAAAAAAACUUCCAUUAUUCUAGAUAGAGCUUUGAGCCGCAACAUUCGCCUUCCGCUCUUGCAAUGGCUUCCAGCUCCGUGCUUAAGAUGGCCGCCAUUUUCAUGCUGGCCCUAUUCGCCGGCCAGGCGCUGAUGGCUACGCCAGUGAUGGCAGAAGAACUAGGUAACCGGCACAACCUUUUGGAGAAGUAUGAUGAGACACAAUGUCGCGGAUACGCCACAUGCAAUAUUGUAUGCUUCUACCAAGUUUUUCAAGUCUGCAUCAUCUACAGCCCUGUUGCAUUCUGCAACACUUGGGCGUUUGGGUUCUGCAAGGACAAGAGAUAUUGAGGCAUAAAUGGCAGUGCAGCUCCUUUUGGGAUGCAUGCACAACUACACGAGCAACUCACCUCAUCAGUGUCAACUAUUGUUCCUUGGUUAUUGGCGUUGUCCGUUGUAAGAGUCCUAAUAUGUUCCUCCCUUUAUUUCCAGCUAUCAUGUAUCAGCGGCUUAGCCAACUAUUUAAUUACUUCAUUGUCUGUCAUCAUGGUACUUGUUUAACUAAAAAUGCCCCGUCGGAUACAAAUGUAUGUGUCGUGUGAUUAUUAAAUGGUUCCGCCGCUGCAACAUUUUUUGGUCCAUAAUGGCCAUAUAAGCAUGCUCUUUCUACCCUUACCCAUGAAUCUUUUUUCAUGAAUGACCAUUCGUUUGACAGAUUUGGCAUGUGGUUCGACAAAAUGCCAUAAGAAAUAAAGGAUGCAAAAAUAUAAGGGAGCAUGAAGCUGAAUUGGCACUAACCUUGUUAAUAUUUUUCGUAGUGGACAGGACAAAUACUACACAGGCCAUCGCCACACCCAGUUUCGCUAGCUCAUCGCAGAGGAUGCGAUGUUUGACAACAUAUACAUUCUAAACGGACACUCAAGGCCCAUAGGGUGACCAGCGUUGCUUCCGUGUUAAUAUUGGCCCACAGGGUAUGAAAGUUUUUCUUUUGUGAGUCCCUAUCAUGUGGAACCCACGUCAGCUGUCGUGAUUGCGUUGGCUUUCAGCGACCGAAUACAUCGAAUCGGGGUUUUCGAGCGUUCUCUCCUUAUUUACCUUGAGUACCCCAAACCCAUUGAGGUCGCCUGCCAACGCUCUCUAGUAGUCGUCCAGGUGCUUGGGUCAUCCUUCUUCUGGCUAGAGUCGCAUUGGCAUCGAUCCUUUGGACAUUUGUUUCAAUCCCCCAAGAGCGUCUAUCACUGCCCCUACCGCAGAUGCCACCGAAAAGAGUUCUGGCAUUGAGCGAGCAUUUUCUUGGACUAUCCUGAUCAAACAUCUCGCAUGCCUCAUUCUACCUUUGAAAACUGAAAUUUUAUCCAGGUACAAUAGAUCCAUGGGAAGUCAUUCCUUUGCCUCAGAAACCCGCAAUUCCCAGAUAGAAAAUCCUAUUUCCCGCUCCUCUAGUUUCUUAAACCAGCGCUGUUUCUUUUUCCAGCAGGGAUACUCCCGAAAAAAGGGCUUCCAUUCAAAGUGGAAAGAAAGAGACCGGUUUGUUCUCCCUCUUUGCCUACCAGUUAAGUAGAUUGUAGGUCCUCUCCCAGGCCUCGCAACCAAGAGUCACAUGUCGAAAGUUGACCAGGAAGACAAGAACUAUCGAGGCUGGAAUAGAUAGAUGAAACACUAAAAUGUUUCACCUUCUUCUGUGGUCAUUCUUAUUUUCAUGAAGUUGAAAUUGUGCUCGCACAUGUAAGCUUAAUCAGGUUUGUGGACAUCACAACCCCCAUUGUCCUGUAUCUCUUCAACAUGCAAGCACUUCGUUAGGGCUGUUUUUUUUUGGAAGUGGGUUCACUGUUUACGCCUCCAUAGAAUCCGGCUAGCUCAAAGAGUCCCCAGAUGACCUCGAGUUGCUCCUGGCACCUUGCUAGGCACGAUCUAUGGUUUUCUCCUCAUUCCAGUGAUGUCAUAAAUGAUUGGGACCGUUCACCUAGAACGGAAAAUCAUUGAAGGGUAGUGAGGAAGGAGUUGGGCGUUUCCUAACUUCCAUUGCCUACACCAGGGGACGUUCCACUUACAUUGCACCCAUGAUAAUCACUAAAGUCGAAAAAAUAGCUAAAUAAUUUGAAUUUGCGGGCUCGGCUGCGACCAAUUGUUUAGUGUGCUUAUUUGGUGGCCAAAUGACAUCCGAGGAGCUCUUUACAUAUAAACAUAUCAAAUUUUGUCCUCAAAGUUAUGUACGCAUAGCUUGAGCAAAAGUUGUAUUUUGUAUAUAUGAAGCUCAUUUGAUAAUAUUUGUCACCAAACUAUGCAAGCACCUCAAACACUUGUUCAAUAAUGCCCCAAAGUUUUUUUCUAUUUGUUAUGAUUUUACUCUUUAGCGUGGGUAAAUUGCACUUCGGUGUAGCCACAAUUUUUCCUUCCCUUCCCGCAUCUCUGAUGGUAGCAAGCUCGAGGUACCGGUCAGGAGUUUUUAGCUGGAAGGAUGUGGCGAUCGUGACUCCAAGGUCAUAUCUAUCCAGGGGUACUAUUCUGGGGACGAAGCCAUUAGGAGUUGCUUUUGACCGUGAUCCUUUUGACCAGUUAUCGCAAUGCCCAAACUUUGCUACAUUAACAUAUAUGAAUUUGUAUGACAGUGGGAAGUAACAUCGAAUUAUGAAAAUGAUACAGGGAGACAAUCUUCCCCUUUCGGCCCCCACGAUGCAAAUAACAACCUUACUCCUACUUGUCUAGAAUUAUAUGUAUCAACAGGUAUAGUGUGUGUGAGGGGGGGAGGGGGAUCCUAUAAGCCUUGUACACUAGGUUUCUAGCACAUUUGGUGACCAGUCUUGACCAGAUGCGCUUCCAUUCAGUCAUCUUGGCCCUCCAAGCAGAAGUUGUCACAUCUUGAUCAGGUGCUAAUGUAUUUAUAAAUGGUUUGGGGUCAGAUGGACGCCUUCCUUUCCUAGCCUUCCGUUCGUGAAAAGCUUGAUAAUUCCACUGUCAUGACAUGUCCUCCCUCCUUUAAAGGAGUUCCUGGGGUACCCGUCAUCCUAGUUUCACUUCUAGGAGUGACCCUCCGUGGGAGUUGGUUUGACAUUCGUGAAAGUUUCCUUCAGGCUUACACGGCUUGGCAUGGGCCCGAUCCACCUCUUUCCUACAACAUAUGACCAACCCGUAUACUACACCUUCACCCAUGGUGAGUAAACUUGAUGUUCUGUACCUGAAGUGAUGACAAGAUCUGAACCCGGUGGAUACUUGAGCAGAUAACUUGGAGAGGAGAAUAUAUCUUCUUUCUUAAAAUUUUGCAUUCGUUAUAUAUUUCUCUCAAAUUUUUCUAAAAACUAAUUUUUUUUAGUACAAAUGAAAUUUCCAUGUAACAAUUUGCGUAAAACAUCAUCUACACAACUAAUGGAUCAACUGGGAUGCAACAUGCAUAUAUCUAAUUAGCUCGUGGUAUUAUUUAAAUAUGUCAAGUUGAAUCAAUGAUAAAUAAAUAAAAUAAGAAAUUAACUAUAAAAUAUUUCAAUAUUAAUUAAUGUGGAUGACAGGCAUAAUGUAACCAUGACUUCCUGACAGGUAGGUAGUACAAACGGCAGGGUUGAUUUUAUAUCCGUGUGUUGCUUCUGAUAAUUUACCUGUCGGCAAACAAAAAGAACAAUGAUAGAUCAAACUAUGUGCUUUUGGUUAGCAGCAUACGCGAAACACAGUUGAAGAACUGUAAUGAUGGUAUGCCAUGAGAUGCUUUCCUAGGUGAGUAAUUUAUGAUCUCGAGAUGCCCUUCACACACUUACCUAAGUUGACAACUAACUCUAUAAUGCCAUUAAGACUUGAACACUAUUGUUUUAUACUAUUUUCGACUUAAUAAUGAAUCUUGGUGCCAUGGUGAUAGUAUAUUUUAGACUCGGAUCAUGGCAUACACAAGGAUCAUCUAUCGAUUAUUAAUUAAGUGCUAAAUUAUGUGGUGGCAAUAUAUGGACCUAGCUGGCUUGAGAUUUGCUACAUGCAGGGGAGUACGACAACAUCAAUUAUAUCAUGCAUGAUGAGAUUGAGCUUACACAAACUUGUAUUAUCAUGCGUCUACUUUUGAAAUAUACAUAAAAAGGAAGUAAAAUUUGUAGGAAAAAUUAUUGGCUGGUCAAAUAAUUUCAUUCUUCUGGAAUGUAUGACCAUAUUAAUAAUGAAGUACUUGAUUAGACUAAAGCUUCUACAGAACCCUCUCAGGUAAACGCCAUGAUGGUGUUGCAUCUACCCUUAUAUGCAUAUGUCUGGAACACAUGCUCUGCUUUUGGAUUUAUCUCUAUAAAAAAUACACUAUUCGAGGAAUCGUCACAAUUUUCCCCGGGUUUAAAGUUUAUACUGAAAUUUGUAAUUUUGAUAAGCAGUAUAAGGAUCGGUAAAAUGCCAUUCAAGAUAUGUAUUGACGGUAACGCGCAAGGCGCUCUCAUAGGUGUGUAAUUUAUGAUCUUAAGAUGCUCUAUGCGCUCGUGGUUGUUUGGUUAAAUAAAAUUAGCCAUGAGUUUAUGGAAAAUUAGUUGUUAGCUGGUUUUUAGUAAAAUCCUUUUUGCUAGCAGUUUUGUGAAUAAUCAGUAUAGAAAAAGUAGUGUUUGGGAUUAGGAAACUGUAAAGAUGGACAUGCAUUUACUUGUUUGGAUAAAAUUCCAUAUUCCUCUCUCUGUGAGUUGUGGAAGGAGGAUGGCAAGAAAAAAGUUUGGGGCGUGAGGAAGUUAGUUAGGAUCCCGUAUUGCUAUCGCGUUUAAAAAAAACAAAUAGUAGCUUUUCUACAAAUGUGAAAUCGUGAGUUUACUUGAAAAAAGGUCUUCAUAUACGCGGGUUAGUUAGAAUAGCCAAGAAAGAUUCUAUUCGGUUAGACAGUUUUUCAAGUUUAUAGGAAUUGCGUUUUGUAUAUACUAUCUAUCCUACCAACCCUAGCUAAGUUGUGAACUCCAUAACGCCAUCAAUACUUGAACGUACUACAGUUCUGUCUUGUUUGGACUCCCGACUGAAUCAUGGUAGUUGUACAUUUUUUACUCAGUGCAUGUCACACACACCAUGAUUAUCUACUGAUUGUUAAGUGCUAGGUAUGUGUUGGCAAGAUAUCCAACUAGUUGGCUUGAUAUUGGGUACAUGCAGGGGAGUACUCCAAAGUCAACUAUAUAUCAUGAUGGGAUCAAGCAUACAUAAACAGGUAUUAUCAUGCAUGUUCGUAUGAUAGUGCAGUAUCAGCUCUGAGAUCAUGAAUGGCAAACUGGAGGGGCUAAUUUAUGAGUGCGUGUGCUUAUAAAUAGGGUCUCUAGCUAGCUAGUACUCACAUCAACACAAGCACGAGAAAACACUUCCAUUUUUCUAGAUAGAGCUUUGAGCCGCAACAUCCGCCUUCCGCUCUUGCAAUGGCUUCCAGCUCCGUGCUUAAGAUGGCCGCCAUUUUCGUGCUGGCCGUAUUCGCCCGCCAGGCACUGAUGGCUACGCCGGCGAUGGCAGAAGGACUAGGUUACCGACACAACCUUUUGGAGAAGUAUGAUGAGACGCAAUGUCGCGGAUACGCCACAUGCAAUAUUGUAUGCUUCUACCAAGUUUUUCAAGUCUGCAUCAUCUACAGCCCUGUUGCAUUCUGCAACACUUGGGCGUUUGGGUUCUGCAAGGACAAGAGAUACUGAGGCAUAAAUAGCAGUGCAGCUCCUUUUGGGAUGCAUGCACAACUACACGAGCAACUCACCUCAUCAGUGUCAACUAUUAUUGUUCCUUCGUUAUUGGCGCUGUGCGUUGUAAGAGUCCUAAUAUGUUCCUCCCUUUAUUUCCAACUAUCAUGUAUCAGUGGCUUAACCAACUAUUUAAUUCCUAUAUUGUCUGUCAUCAUGGUACUUGUUCAACUAAAAAUCCCCCGUCGAAUACAAAUGUAUGUGUCGUGUGAUUAUAAAAUGGUUCCGCCACUGCAACAUUUUUCAGUCCAUGAUGGCCAUAUAAGCAUGCUCUUUCCACCCUUACCCAUGAAUCUUUUUUCAUGAAUGACCAUUCCUUUGACAGAUUUGGCAUGUGGUUCAACAAAAUGCCAUAAAAAAUAAAGGUUGCAAAAAUAUAAUAAGGGAGCUUGAAGCUGAAUUGGCACUAACCUUGUAAAUACUUUUGGUAGUGGACAAGACAAAUACUACAUAGGCCAUCGCCACACCCAGUUUCGCACGAUCAUCGCAGAUGAUGCGAUGUUUGACAACAUAUACAUUCUAAACGGACACUCAGGGCCCGCAAGGCAUAGAGGGGGAGGUCAUAAGCGCCUAUACCAUAAAAUAGAUUUUCGACGGAAUCAAAAAGACAUAUCUGGUAGAAUCGUAACCAUAGAAUACGACCCUAAUCGAAAUGCAUACAUUUGUCUCAUAGGGUGACCAGCGUUGCUUCCAUGUUAAUCCGGGCCCAUAGGGUACGAAAGUUUCUCCUUCUGUGAGUCCCUAUCACGUGGAACCCACAUCAACUGCGGUGAUUGCAUUGGCUUUCAGGGACCGAAUACAUCGAAUCGGGGUUUUCGAGCGGUCUCUCCUUAUUUACCUUGAGUACCCCAAACCCAUUGAGGUCACUUGCUGACGCUCUCUAGUAGUCGUCCAGGUGCUUGGGUCAUCCUUCUUCUGGCUAGUCUCUUUGGCAUCGAUCCUUUGGACAUUUGCUUCAAUCCCCCAAGAACGUCUUUCACUGCCCCUACCACAGAUGCUACCGAAAAGAGUUCCGACAUUGAGCAAGUAUUUUCUUGGACUAUCCCGAUCAAACAUCUCUCAUGCCUCAUUCUACCUUUGAAAACUGAAAUUAUAUCCAGGUACGAUAGAUCCGUGGGAAGUCAUUCCUUUGCCUCAGAAAUCCGCAAUUCCCAGAUGAAAAAUCCUAUUUCAAGCUCCUCUAGUUUCUUAAACCAGCACUGUUUCCUUUUCCAGCAGGGAUACUCCUGAAAAAGGGCUUCCGUUCAAAGUGGAAAGAAAGAGACCUGUCCGUUCUCCCUAUUUGCCUAGCGGUUAAGUAGAAUGUAGGGCCCCUCCUAGGCCACGCAACCAAGAGUCACUUGUCGAAAGUUGACCAGGAAGACAAUAACUAUCGAGGCUGGAAUAGAUAGAUGAAAGUCUAAAAUGUUUCACCUUCUUCUAUGGUCAUUCUUAUUUUCAUGAAGCUCACGUGUAAGCUUCGUCAGGCUUGUGGACAUCACAACGCCCAUUCACAUGUAUCUCUUCAACAUGCAAGCACUUCAUUAGGGCCGCUGUUUUUUUGGAAGUGGGUUCACUGUUUACGCCUCCAUGGAAUCUGGCUAGCUCGAAGAGUCCCCAGAUGACGUCGAGUUGCUCCUGGCACCCAGCUAGGCAUGAUCUAUGGUUCUCUCCUCAUUCCCAGUGAUGUGAUAAAUGAUUGGGACCGUUCACCUAGAACGGAAAAUCAUUGAAGGGGACUGAGGAAGGAGUUGGGCGUUUCCUAACUUCCAUUGCCAGAGUGGUUUUUUUACACCAGGGGACGUGCCACCUACAUUGCACCCAUGAUAAUCACUAAAAUCGACAAAAAAUAUCUAAAUAAUUUGAAUUUGCGGGCUCGGCUGUGACCAAUUGUUUAGGGUGCUUAUUUGGUGGCCAAAUGACAUCCGAGGAGCUCUUUACAUAAAAAAUAUAUCAAAUUUUGUCCUGAAAGUUAUGUAAGCAUAGUUUGAGCAGAAGUUGUAUUUUGUAUAUAUGAAGCUCAUUUGAUACUAUUUGUUCACCAAACUAUGCGAGCACCUAAAACACUUGUUCAAUAAUGCCCCAAAGUUUUUUUUUCUAUUUGUUAUGAUUUACUCUUCAGCGUGGGUAAAUUGCACUUUGGUGUAGCCACAACUUUUCCUUCCCAUCCCGCAUAUCUGAUGGUAGCAAGCUCGGUGUACAUCUUCACCCACGGUGAGUAAACAACUCCUUGGUUGGCCGCUCCACCUAGAUAUGUGUCGCCAAAAGCAACUCCAGAUGUUCCUGUAGCUGAAGUGACGACCAGAUCUGAACCCCGUGGAUACUUGAACAUAUAACUUGGAGAGGAGAAUAUAUCUUCUUUCAUCAAAUAUCACAUUAUUUCUACGUAACUACACUGACUAUCAAAUUUUGCAUUCGUUAUAUAUUUCUCUCAAAUUUUGCUAAAACCAAAAUAUUUUUUUAAUACACAUGAAAUUUCCAUGUAACAAUUUGCGUAAAACAUCAUCUACACAACUAAUGAAUCAACUGGGAUGCAACAUGCAUACAUCUAAUUAGCUCGUGGUAAUUGUUUAAAUAUGUCAAGUUCAAUCAAUGAAUCUUUUUUCAUGAAUGACCAUUCGUUUGACAGAUUUGGCAUGUGGUUCGACAAAAUGCCAUAAGAAAUAAAGGAUGCAAAAAUAUAAGGGAGCAUGAAGCUGAAUUGGCACUAACCUUGUUAAUAUUUUUCGUAGUGGACAAGACAAAUACUACACAGGCCAUCGCCCCACCCAGUUUCGCUAGCUCAUCGCAGAUGAUGCGAUGUUUAACAACAUAUACAUUCUAAACGGACACUCAAGGCCCAUAGGGUGACCAGCGUUGCUUCCAUGUUAAUAUGGGCCCACAGGGUAUGAAAGUUUUUCUUCUGUGAGUCCCUAUCAUGUGGAACCCACGUCAGCUGUCGUGAUUGCGUUGGCUUUCAGCGACCGAAUACAUCGAAUCGGGGUUUUCGAGCAUUCUCUCCUUAUUUACCUUGAGUACCCCAAACCCAUUGAGGUCGCCUGCCGACGCUCUCUAGUAGUCGUCCAGGUGCUUGGGUCAUCCUUCUUCUGGCUAGAGUCGCUUUGUCAUCGAUCCUUUGGACAUUUGGUUCAAUCCCCCAAGAGCGUCUAUCACUGCCCCUACCGCAGAUGCUACCGAAAAGAGUUCUGGCAUUGAGCGAGCAUUUUCUUGGACUAUCCUGAUCAAACAUCUCGCAUGCCUCAUUCUACCUUUGAAAACUGAAAUUUUAUCCAGGUACAAUAGAUCCGUGGGAAGUCAUUCCUUUGCCUCAGAAACCCGCAAUUCCCAGAUAGAAAAUCCUAUUUCCCGCUCCUCUAGUUUCUUAAACCAGCGCUGUUUCUAUUUCCAGCAGGGAUACUCCCGAAAAAAGGGCUUCCAUUCAAAGUGGAAAGAAAGAGACCGGUUUGUUCUCCCUCUUUGCCUAUCAGUUAAGUCGAUUGUAGGUCCCCUCCCAGGCCUCGCAACCAAGAGUCACUUGUCGAAAGUUGACCAAGAAGACAAGAAUAUCGUGGCUGGAAUAGAUAGAUGAAACUCUAAAAUGUUUCACCUUCUUCUAUGGUCAUUCUUAUUUUCAUGAAGUUGAAAUUGUGCUCGCACAUGUAAGCUUAAUCAGGUUUGUGGACGUCACAACCCCCAUUGUCCUGUAUCUCUUCAACAUGCAAGCACUUCGUUAGGGCUGGUGUUUUUUUGGAAGUGGGUUCACUGUUUACGCCUCCAUAGAAUCCGGCUAGCUCAAAGAGUCCCCAGAUUACGUCGAGUUGCUCCUGGCACCUUGCUAGGCACGAUCUAUGGUUUUCUCCUCAUUCCAGUGAUGUCAUAAAUGAUUGGGACCGUUUACCUAGAACGGAAAAUCAUUGAAGGGUAGUGAGGAAGGAGUUGGGUGUUUCCUAACUUCCAUUGCCUACACCAGGGGACGUUCCACUUACAUUGCACCCAUGAUAAUCACUAAAGUCGAAAAAAUAGCUAAAUAAUUUGAAUUUGCGGGCUCGGCUGCGACCAAUUGUUUAGUGUGCUUAUUUGGUGGCCAAAUGACAUCCGAGGAGCUCUUUACAUAUAAACAUAUCAAAUUUGGUCCUCAAAGUUAUGUACGCAUAGCUUGAGCAAAAGUUGUAUUUUGUAUAUAUGAAGCUCAUUUGAUAAUAUUUGGUCACCAAACUAUGCAAGCACCUGAAACACUUGUUCAAUAAUGCCCCAAAGUUUUUUUCUAUUUUUUAUGAUUUUACUCUUUAGCGUGGGUAAAUUGCACUUCGGUGUAGCCACAACUUUUCCUUCCCUUCCCGCAUCUCUGAUGGUAGCAAGCUCGAGGUACCGGUCAGGAGUUUUUAGCUGGAAGGAUGUGGCGAUCGUGACUCCAUGGUCAUAUCUAUCCAGGGGUACUAUUCUGGGGACAAAGCCAUUAGGAGUUGCUUUUGACCGUGAUCCUUUUGACCAGUUAUCGCAAUGCCCAAACUUUGCUACAUUAACAUACAUGAAUUUGUAUGACAGUGGCAAGUAAAAUCGAAUUAUGAAAAUGAUACAGGGAGACAAUCUUCCCCUUUCGGCCCCCACGAUGCAAAUAACAACCUUACUCCUACUUGUCUAGAAUUAUAUGUAUCAACAGGUAUAGUGUGUGUGAGGGGGUGAGGGGGAUCCUGCGAGCCUUGUACACUAGGUUUCUAGCACAUUUGGUGACCAGUCUUGACCAGAUGUGCAAGUUCAGAUCUAGUCUAGGCCUGAAGCUAGGGCUUCCAUUCAGUCAUCUUGGCCCUCCAAGCAGAAGUUGUCACCUCUUGUUCAGGUGCUAAUGUAUUUAUAAAUGGUUUGGGGUCAGAUGGACGCCUUCCUUUCCUAGCCUUCCGUUCGUGAAAAGCUUUAUAAUUCCACUGUCAUGACAUGUCCUCCCUCCUUUAAAGGAGUUCCUGGGGUACCCGUCAUCCUAAUUUCACUGCUAGGAGUGACCCUCCGUGGGAGUUGGUUUGACAUUCAUGAAAGUUUCCUUCAGGCUUACACGGCUUGGCAUGGGCCCAAUCCACCUCUUUCCUACAACAUAUGACCUAGGAGCUGUCGACAGGCUGCGCAAGUGCGAAAGAAACUGGAUCGAGGAGCUGCCAAUGGUUCUUUGGUCGAUCAGAAUGACGCCAAAUCGAGCCACUGGCCAGAUGCCUUUCGCUCUAGUCUAUGGAGCAGAGGCAGUUCUCCCCACGGAACUCGUAUACGGAUCGCGUCGAGUGCUCGCUUAUGAUGAGCUUGAGCAAGAACAGCUGCGACAAGACGACGCGCUGCUCCUUGAGGAAGAUCGUCUUCAGGCUGCUGUACGAGCUGCUCGAUACCAGCAAGCUUUGCGCCGCUACCAUAGCCGCAAAGUUAAAGCCAGAAGCUUCGAGGAAGGCGACCUUGUUCUUCGGCGUGUUCAGUCCGCCAAGAAUUCCAACAAGUUGACGCCGAAGUGGGAAGGCCCUUAUCGGGUGAAACGAGUCACAAGGCCCGGCGCUGUCCGCCUUGAGACCGAAGAUGGCAUUCCGGUGAGCAACUCCUGGAACAUAGAACAUCUUUGUAAGUUUUUCCCGUAGGGCGCGGUUGCCGGAACCCGUUCCGGCAACCACCUUUUGUACAAGUCUUGCCACAGUUGCAUGUAAUCCUUUAUACAAAGCCGGGCGCAGAUCCCGUGCAUAAAUAAAACCCCAUGUGCUCCGCACAACUUGUCCAUUUCAUGCAUUAGUUUCUUUCUUGCAUGCGUUAUUUGACACUUUGUGCAGCACCUACAUCCGGUAAGCAAUAACGAGCCGAAGGGCUCCAUAUCAUUAUUUUCUCUUCUUUCUUCUUUUCAACAAAGGAAAAGAAGGUUCCCUUGCACACAAGUUUGCCGGGGGGGAAGGAGAAGAUUGUGGUAUGGACCAGGCGUCGUUCAAGAAAAGUUUUGCCUUGCCGGGAAGCAAACGACAGAAAAACUAAGUUGCCAAAGUUUGAGCAAUCAGUUUUCAAAUUUUUGAGUUAUUUUCCUCGAACGACCCCGCUUUGUAUGGAAAACCUGUGCGCGGAGGGACCAACUCGUGGCUAGUUGCGCCCUUACUUUGUUUCGAGUCCGCUCAACAACUUAAGUGUGCUGCAUCUAGUCGCGACAAGGUUUCUUGUCGGAAGCAGCGCUGCCAGCAGGCUGCUGAAGUUCCGCACCCAGCGCUCGUGGCUCGGGUGCCUGCGCCGACAAGUUCCCUAGAAGCGUAGGGUAAAAACAUACAAAGGAAGGAAUCUAGUAGAGGAAAUAACAUAGCAAUUGAUAACAGAAAUAAAGUUAUAUUACAAGAUAACUUGUCGCAGCUCUAACAGACUGUUUUCAUAACAUGAUUAGCAGCGACAAGGGAAAAGAAGAAAUGGGCAGCCUAGUCUACGCGUCCGCCCUCGACCCUCUUGAUCUCACUCACCUUGUCCACAAUGGGUGCGACAAGGGCCUUGAGCGCAUCCAGAUCGGCGUCAGGCGGCAAGGACCUGAGGACGUUGGUAAGGUUGAGGCCUGGGUUGCGGAAGGCCACCUUCAUCAGCACCUUCUGGAGAGCCCUCGUGCAAAUCCUGCGCGACUCGUCGGCCAGCUGCUUUGGGAUCCUCUCCCGGAGCCGCUGGAGUGCCGUCGCCACGCCCUUGAAGAACAUGCUGAGCUUGGCGCUGGGUUGGAGAUUCUCGUCGGAGGGAUACCCAAAGUCCUCCAUCCCCAGCUGCGCCAGCUCCUCGUCGAUGACUGCGGCAAUAUUCACCAGACCCUCGGUCCAGUGCUCCACAGUAUCUCCGAACGAGUUCUGGGUAACUGCGAUGCUCUCCAGCAGCGCCUUGUCAGCUUUGACCUUCUCUGACAAGGUCUUCUCCCGCUCCUUGGCGGCCUCCAGCGUCUGCAUCAGCGUGGCCAGCUUCAACUCCAGGACCGCAUUGGAAUCCUUGGCGGCGCUGAGCUCCUUGCCCCUCUCAGCGAGAAGACCUUGCAGCUCACCGUGGGCGGCAGCAUCCUUCUCACGCUCACGCUUGAGCGCGGCAAGCUCCUCGCCGCUCUUCUCGAUGUUGGCCUCCAGCUGCGCCACCUUCUCCUCCAGCUCUUUUGUGGCAGCCUUUGUGCUUGCGGCAGCGUCCUUUGCCUCUUUGAGCACCCCGCCAAGUGCUUGCUCGCGCUCGGCGAGCUCCUCCUUGUAGCUGUCGAGGUUGGCCUUCCGCUGCACCAAUUCGCCUUCUCGCGCGGACUGCUUCUCGGCGGCCAGCCUUUGUUCCUCCUCAGCUUCGGCCUUCUCGAGAAGGAAGGCCGUGCGCUCCUCGUCGAGUCGCUCCCGCUCCUGUGCCAGGGACCGGAGAGCUUCUUGAUUGUGGCCCCGGUGUUCCUCCGCACGCUUCUCCAUGUCAACUCUCGCCUUCGCGACAAGCGCUUCCUGGGAAGCCAGCUUGGCUUGCCGUGCGCGGUAGAGUGAUAGCAGCUUCCGCAGUAGCUGCUCCUCCUCAGGCUCGCCACUGCUGCUGCUGGGCACGUCGACCAACGACAGUCCAGCAGAGGCGAGCACCUCCUCAUCGAAAGUUUCCCCCUCGACUGGCGCCCUGGAGCUCGAAGACCAGGGUAGCUUGAUGAAGAUAUCGUCACCGGCCUUCAAGUAGGCGCCGGGCUGGGGCUCCUUGGAGCCCGGCUUCGCAGAAGCGGCAGAGGGAUCGGCGGUUGGCGCAGCGCCUGGCGCUCCUGCGGCCUCAGGGUCGUCAGUGCGAUCGCCCGACCCCUCACCGGCUUCUACGGCGGCAGCCUUGGCGGCCUCCUCGCCGGCGGUCUCAUCAGCACCGGCCCCUUCCUCGCCAGCGCCCUCUGUCUCCAUUGGCUCAGCAGCAGAUGGGUCUGAAGAACGAAGAAGGGAGAAAAAUCAAUCAAAAAUCCAAGAGAAGAAAAUCAGAAGAAGAAGAACCCAAGGGAAAGUUUUUGGGCAAGUGAAUUACCUAUGCCAAGAUCUGCAGUUGCGGUCUCGGCCGCCGCAGGAUCGGCGGUGUUGCCCCUUGCCGGAGAGUUCUCCCUUGCCGGAGAGCGCUCCCUUAUCGGGAACUCCUCCCUUAGCGGCAUAGUCGAAGCAGAUGGCACUUCGGGACCAGCUUCCAGGCGCUCCUGAUAUGGCUGCUCUGCUCCUACACAAAUCAACAAGCAAGAUAUCAACAAAGGAAAAAACACUCAUGCGCGCUUGACAGCAGAAAGCUAACUAUGAACUUACGCUGGGGGCUGUUUUGAGGAGUGGUUGCCGGGUCCGUCAAGGUGGUCUCGGACCCACCCCCUGCUGACACGGUGGGGUCAUCUUCGAUGACAAUCACCGCGGCCUUGGCCCUCUUCGCCGCUCUCUGGGCCAGCAUCCUCAAAAGAAAGGAGUCCAGAUUGAAGCAGGUCAGAUACAAGAUAAAAACAACAAGAUUGAAGAACUACAAGAGCACCAAGGAAACUUACUCUUCUUCCUCCUCGUCGGAGCUGAGCGUAGAAAGAUCAAAGUCUGGCUCCCUUCCGGUGCGGCGAGGCGGAGCAGCAGGAUCCCUUGCCCGCUUGGCGGGGGCGGUGGCGGUGGCCCGGGAAGAUCCCGCUCCAGUUGCCGCUGCUGCGUGGGGCGCUCCCGCGGUAACAUUGCUUGCCGCGGUAGAGCGUGCGCACGGCUUGGCGGCUGUUGACCCGGCUGCCGCCCCGCUACGUCCGCGGCCCUACGAAGACGCCUUCUUGGCGGGGCCGGGGGCUCCGCCUGCGGCAAGCCUUCUGAAGGCUCGGGCUCUUCCUCGCCGGCCUCGCUCGGCUCAGCUUCAGAACCGGCAGGCUCUUCCUCGCCAAUGAACUCCGUGUGCUCGGCGAGGUUUGCCGCCUCUGCAGCCUCCGCCUCCUCCACAGUGAACCCGAACGCGCCCGCGGCAGCUGCGGCCGCAACCUCUUCCGCCCUAGUGGUGAUGCGCUGCAGCUCCUCAUCGGUGGUGUCACGGGUGAGGCUCUUCUGAUCGUCAGCGUGGACCGGCACUUCUUCCAAGUUGUCGAAGAACGCUUGCACGACGUCAUCUGCAGGCUCUUGCCAAGUUGGAACGAUCCCGUGUGAAUCGCACAACGGCAUCAUGGCGCGGAUCCGGUCAAGCGAAGAAUUGUUGCACAAUGGAAUGACGCCCCUCGGCAGCGUGAAUGGGUGCUGGGGGUCGCGUUUGAACAACUCCAGGAGCAUUGCAUCCAGCUCCAAGACGGUGAAGUUGUAGUUGAGGCCCGGCCGCAGCCUCAUGAUGUCCGCCGAGUUCUUGAAUUCCCAGGCGGGCCUCCCCCUCUCCUGCAGGGGGGCGAUGCGGCGGCGGAGGAAAUCUGCGCCUACAGCGCCUACAGUGAGCCCGGCAAGCCUGAGGCGAAGGAUCCUAGUAAUGGCGAUCUUCAGCCUCUCGUCUUCCGGGGCCACAUUGCUCCAGUCAUUGCCGCGCACUAUUGGAGCUUGGCGCACGGCGGUGAAGGGCUGCGGAUUCUCCUCGACGAUCCAGCACCACUCCGCCCUCCACUCCUCCAACUUGAUGCGGAGCUCACCCUCCAAGUACGCCUCCUUCUUUCCGACUCUCGAGAUCCAGGCGAUCCCACCGGCAAGCGGCUCUCCUCUCUCUACCCAAGGUAUGAAGAAGUGGCGGAAAAGGGCAACAUUGGGGUGGACUCCGACAAAGUUUUCGCACAAAUGUGCGAAAACUGCCAUGGUCAGAACGGCGUUGGGGGUGAAGUCAAGGAGGCGGAAGCCGUAGGUGUUCAUGAUAUCGCAUAAGAACUCCGAGAAGGGCGGGCAAAGCCCGCAAUAGAAGAACAGCGCGAAGAAUGGGUACCCGUUUGGAGCUAGUUCUGAAGCAGCGGCCGGGAGUACCCUCGUGCGCGGAUGCACCCGCGUCUUCGUCGUCCAAAAGAGGUAGAAGUACUCCCUCAGCUCCUUCACGCCGAGCUGGGGGGAGAAGAUCACCCGCUCCUUUCGCAGCGCCGCGAGCCGCUACGCCUCGGCCGACUUCACGCCCUUUCCCUUGUCGGCUUUCGGAGCCAUGGCGGAGGUGGUGGGGGAGGUCGACGGCGUUAGUGAUGCUGGUCGCAAUGGGGGGCGGAGCGCUGCUCUCUCGGCUUCGAGAAGAAGAGGGGGGGGGGCGGCGGAGGUUCGUGAAGAUGGAGUAGUAGCAACCAGCGAGGGGGAAAGAACUGCCCCUGUUUCCUCUGCUUAUAAAGAGGGACGGGGCGGACGUUUCGCCCUUCCGAAUAAAGAACCACCCACGAUCUCUCCCACGAUGCCGCAUUCAACGCGUGCCGUUAGGGGAGAGCGCGGUGGACACGGAGCGAGAUUCGGCGUGGCCCAGUCCACAUGUGCCCGUGCCCUGUCUUGGGCCUGGCCCAACAGCGCUCGGCACCGUGUCUGGCCCAGGCCUGGGGGCUCCUGUCGGUGUACUAGAAUAGGGGUACCCUAGUACCCUGAACUUGUGCACGGGCAGUUGCAGCACCCCGCGGCCAGGCUUGCCGGGCUAACACCAAGAUCCUCCGUGGUUCCCUUGGAGCCAUUCAAGAACAAAGUAUUUAAGCUCAGGAGACAAGGCCCCGGCAAGAGGAGCUUGCCGGGAAGGCCAACCGAGGCACUCCAAGGAACUUGCCGCGGCGCGCCACGCGCUCCGGCAAGGCAACAAGGCCCCGGCAAGAGGAGCUUGCCGGGAAGACUAACCAAGGUACCUCGAGGCCCGGUGAGCGACAAGCUUCCGGACCCGACAAGAUAACAGCAGCGGCAAGGCGCUUGCCGCGGCAGGCGGCCACUCUGUGCCCACGCUCCAGCGCAUCCACCAACGUGUCGCUCUGGGGGCCUCUCCAGGCGCGCGUGGCGGGAGGCUGUGCAGCCAGCGGUACGCAGUGGCAUGCGAAGCUGACAAGAUCGCCAUCGUGGCGAAUAGUGGCGCCCCUAACGGUCCUUUUCUGCACUGUUUGGGCGAUUCAGACGGGCAUUUAAUGCCCUUGUCCCCUGCCGUCAGGGUUAGGUAGGGUGCACUGUACAAGUAACUGUACCAACGACCUCACUUUUUACAUUUGUACCCUUCUCUGCGUUGCCACCUGUGGUGACCCCUUUAGCGUAUAAAAGGAGGCCCAUGCGCAACAUAGAGGGGGGUUCGGUUCGACUGGUUCGCGAAGUUCGACUCAUUCGUAACCCAGAAAAACACUACGCUCUCUCUCUAGAGCAAGAACACAAAAUAAUCAAACAAGCAACAGUAGGAGUGUUAUCUCUCCGGAGAGCUCCGAAGCUGGGUAAACUGCUCGUGUGCUACGCCUCGAUCUGCUCUUCGUUUGAUCUCCGCCCCCCCUCCUCCCCCCCCCGCUGAACCGAAAGGGGCCCGGUCCGCCGGCCCCAUAGGUGUUUGUGUGGAUCAGUUUCCCCCGACAUACUAUCUAUCCUAUCAACCAUAGCUAAGUUGUGAACUCUAUAACGUCAUCAAUACUUGAAUGUACUACAGUUCUGUCCUGUUUGGACUCCCGACAGAAUCAUGGUAGUUGUACAUUUUGUACUCAGUGCAUGUGUCACACACCAUGAUUAUCUACUCAUUCUUAAGUGCUAAGUAUGUGUUGGGAAGAUAUCCAACUAGUUGGCUUGAUAUCGGGCACAUGCUGGGCAGUACUCCAAAGUCAACUAUAAAUCAUCAUGGGAUCAAGCUUACAUAAACAAGUAUUAUCAUGCAUGUUCGUAUGAUAGUCCAGUAUCAGCUAUGAGAUCAUGAAUGGCAAACUGGAGGGGCUAAUUUAUGAGUGCGUGUGUUUAUAAAUAGGAUCUCUAGCUAGCUAGUACUCACAUCAACACAACCACGGAAAAAAACUUCCAUUUUUCUAGAUAGAGCUUUGAGCCGCAACAUCCGCCUUCCGCUCGUGCAAUGGCUUCCAGCUCCGUGCUUAAGAUGGCCGCCGUUUUCAUGCUGGCCCUAUUCGCCGGCCAGGCGCUGAUGGCUACGCCAGUGAUGGCAGAAGAACUAGGUAACCGGCACAACCUUUUGGAGAAGUAUGAUGAGACACAAUGUCGCGGAUACGCCACAUGCAAUAUUGUAUGCUUCUACCAAGUUUUUCAAGUCUGCAUCAUCUACAGCCCUGUUGCAUUCUGCAACACUUGGGCGUUUGGGUUCUGCAAGGACAAGAGAUAUUGAGGCAUAAAUGGCAGUGCAGCUCCUUUUGGGAUGCAUGCACAACUACACGAGCAACUCACCUCAUCAGUGUCAACUAUUGUUCCUUGGUUAUUGGCGUUGUCCGUUGUAAGAGUCCUAAUAUGUUCCUCCCUUUAUUUCCAGCUAUCAUGUAUCAGCGGCUUAGCCAACUAUUUAAUUACUUCAUUGUCUGUCAUCAUGGUACUUGUUUAACUAAAAAUGCCCCGUCGGAUACAAAUGUAUGUGUCGUGUGAUUAUAAAAUGGUUCCGCCGCUGCAACAUUUUUUGGUCCAUAAUGGCCAUAUAAGCAUGCUCUUUCUACCCUUACCCAUGAAUCUUUUUUCAUGAAUGACCAUUCGUUUGACAGAUUUGGCAUGUGGUUCGACAAAAUGCCAUAAGAAAUAAAGGAUGCAAAAAUAUAAGGGAGCAUGAAGCUGAAUUGGCACUAACCUUGUUAAUAUUUUUCGUAGUUGACAAGACAAAUACUACACAGGCCAUCGCCACACCCAGUUUCGCUAGCUCAUCGCAGAGGAUGCGAUGUUUGACAACAUAUACAUUCUAAACGGACACUCAAGGCCCAUAGGGUGACCAGCGUUGCUUCCGUGUUAAUAUUGGCCCACAGGGUAUGAAAGUUUUUCUUUUGUGAGUCCCUAUCAUGUGGAACCCACGUCAGCUGUCGUGAUUGCAUUGGCUUUCAGCGACCGAAUACAUCGAAUCGGGGUUUUCGAGCGUUCUCUCCUUAUUUACCUUGAGUACCCCAAACCCAUUGAGGUCGCCUGCCGACGCUCUCUAGUAGUCGUCCAGGUGCUUGGGUCAUCCUUCUUCUGGCUAGAGUCGCAUUGGCAUCGAUCCUUUGGACAUUUGUUUCAAUCCCCCAAGAGCGUCUAUCACUGCCCCUACCGCAGAUGCCACCGAAAAGAGUUCUGGCAUUGAGCGAGCAUUUUCUUGGACUAUCCUGAUCAAACAUCUCGCAUGCCUCAUUCUACCUUUGAAAACUGAAAUUUUAACCAGGUACAAUAGAUCCAUGGGAAGUCAUUCCUUUGCCUCAGAAACCCGCAAUUCCCAGAUAGAAAAUCCUAUUUCCCGCUCCUCUAGUUUCUUAAACCAGCGCUGUUUCUUUUUCCAGCAGGGAUACUCCCGAAAAAAGGGCUUCCAUUCGAAGUGGAAAGAAAGAGACGGGUUUGUUCUCCCUCUUUGCCUAUCAGUUAAGUAGAUUGUAGGUCCCCUCCCAGGCCUCGCAACCAAGAGUCACUUGUCGAAAGUUGACCAGGAAGACAAGAACUAUCGAGGCUGGAAUAGAUAGAUGAAACACUAAAAUGUUUCACCUUCUUCUAUGGUCAUUCUUAUUUUCAUGAAGUUGAAAUUGUGCUCGCACAUGUAAGCUUAAUCAGGUUUGUGGACAUCAGAACCCCCAUUGUCCUGUAUCUCUUCAACAUGCAAGCACUUCGUUAGGGCUGUUUUUUUUUUUGGAAGUGGGUUCACUGUUUACGCCUCCAUAGAAUCCGGCUAGCUCAAAGAGUCCCCAGAUGACCUCGAGUUGCUCCUGGCACCUUGCUAGGCACGAUCUAUGGUUUUCUCCUCAUUCCAGUGAUGUCAUAAAUGAUUGGGACCGUUCACCUAGACCCGAAAAUCAUUGAAGGGUAGUGAGGAAGGAGUUGGGCGUUUCCUAACUUCCAUUGCCUACACCAAGGGACGUUCCACUUACAUUGCACCCAUGAUAAUCACUAAAGUCGAAAAAAUAGCUAAAUAAUUUGAAUUUGCGGGCUCGGCUGUGACCAAUUGUUUAGUGUGCUUAUUUGGUGGCCAAAUGACAUCCGAGGAGCUCUUUACAUAUAAACAUAUCAAAUUUUGUCCUCAAAGUUAUGUACGCAUAGCUUGAGCAAAAGUUGUAUUUUGUAUAUAUGAAGCUCAUUUGAUAAUAUUUGUCACCAAACUAUGCAAGCACCUGAAACACUUGUUCAAUAAUGCCCCAAUUUUUUUUUCUAUUUGUUAUGAUUUUACUCUUUAGAGUGGGUAAAUUGCACUUCGGUGUAGCCACAAUUUUUCCUUCCCUUCCCGCAUCUCUGAUGGUAGCAAGCUCGAGGUACCGGUCAGGAGUUUUUAGCUGGAAGGAUGUGGCGAUCGUGACUCCAAGGUCAUAUCUAUCCAGGGGUACUAUUCUGGGGACGAAGCCAUUAGGAGUUGCUUUUGACCGUGAUCCUUUUGACCAGUUAUCGCAAUGCCCAAACUUUGCUACAUUAACAUAUAUGAAUUUGUAUGACAGUGGGAAGUAACAUCGAAUUAUGAAAAUGAUACAGGGAUGCAAAUAACAACCUUACUCCUACUUGUCUAAAAUUAUAUGUAUCAACAGGUAUAGUGUGUGUGAGGGGGGGAGGGGGAUCCUAUAAGCCUUGUACACUAGGUUUCUAGCACAUUUGGUGACCAGUCUUGACCAGAUGUGCAAGUUGAGAUCUAGUCUAGGCCUGAAGCUAGCGCUUCCAUUCAGUCAUCUUGGCCCUCCAAGCAGAAGUUGUCACAUAUUGAUCAGGUGCUAAUGUAUUUAUAAAUGGUUUGGGGUCAGAUGGACGCCUUCCUUUCGUAGACUUCCGUUCGUGAAAAGCUUGAUAAUUCCACUGUCAUGACAUGUCCUCCCUCCUUUAAAGGAGUUCCUGGGGUACCCGUCAUCCUAAUUUCACUUCUAGGAGUGACCCUCCGUGUGAGUUGGUUUGACAUUCGUGAAAGUUUCCUUCAGGCUUACACGGCUUGGCAUGGGCCCGAUCCACCUCUUUCCUACAACAUAUGACCUACCCGUAUACUACACCUUCACCCAUGGUGAGUAAACAACCCCUUGGUUGCCCGCUCCACCAGAUACGUGCUGCCAAAAGCAACUCCUGAUGUUCUGUAGCUGAAGUGAUGACAAGAUCUGAACCCGGUGGAUACUUGAGCAGAUAACUUGGAGAGGAGAAUAUAUCUUCUUUCUUAAAAUUUUGCAUUCGUUAUAUAUUUCUCUCAAAUUUACCUGUCGGCAAACAAAAAGAACAAUGAUAGAUCAAACUAUGUGCUUUUGGUUAGCAGCAUACGCGAAACACAGUUGAAGAACUGUAAGGAUGGUAUGCCAUGAGAUGCUUUCCUAGGUGAGUAAUUUAUGAUCUUGAGAUGCCCUUCACACACUUACCUAAGUUGACAACUAACUCUAUAAUGCCAUUAAGACUUGAACACUAUUGUUUUAUACUAUUUUCGACUUAAUAAUGAAUCUUGGUGCCAUGGUGAUAGUAUAUUUUAGACUCGGAUCAUGGCAUACACAAGGAUCAUCUAUCGAUUAUUAAUUAAGUGCUAAAUUAUGUGGUGGCAAUAUAUGGACCUAGCUGGCUUGAGAUUUGCUACAUGCAGGGGAGUACGACAACAUCAAUUAUAUCAUGCAUGAUGAGAUUGAGCUUACACAAACUUGUAUUAUCAUGCGUCUACUUUUGAAAUAUACAUAAAAAGGAAGUAAAAUUUGUAGGAAAAAUUAUUGGCUGGUCAAAUAAUUUCAUUCUUCUGAAAUGUAUGACCAUAUUAAUAAUGAAGUACUUGAUUAGACUAACGCUUCUAAUGAACCCUCUCAGGUAAACGCCAUGAUGGUGUUGCAUCUACCCUUAUAUGCUUAUGUCUGGAACACAUGCUCUGCUUUUGGAUUUAUCUCUAUAAAAAAUACACUAUUCGAGGAAUCGUCAGAGUUUUCCCCGGGUUUAAAGUUUAUACUGAAAUUUGUAAUUUUGAUAAGCAGUAUAAGGAUCGGUAAAAUGCCAUUCAAGAUAUGUAUUGACGGUAACGCGCAAGGCGCUCUCAUAGGUGUGUAAUUUAUGAUCUUAAGAUGCUCUAUGCGCUCGUGGUUGUUUGGUUAAAUAAAAUUAGCCAUGAGUUUAUGGAAAAUUAGUUGUUAGCUGGUUUUAGUAAAAUCCUUUUUGCUAGCAGUUUUGUGAAUAAUCAGUAUAGAAAAAAUAGUGUUUGGGAUUAGGAAACUGUAAAGAUGGACAUGCAUUUACUUGUUUGGAUAAAAUUCCAUAUUCCUCUCUCUGUGAGUUGUGGAAGGAGGAUGGCAAGAAAAAAGUUUGGGGCGUGAGGAAGUUAGUUAGUAUCCCGUAUUGCUAUCACGUUUAAAAAAAACAAAUAGUAGUUUUUCUACAAAUGUGAAAUCGUGAGUUUACUUGAAAAAAAGUUCUUCAUAUACGCGGGUUAGUUAGAAUAGCGAAGAAAGAUUCUAUUCGGUUAGACAGUUUUUCAAGUUUAUAGGAAUUGCGUUUUGUAUAUACUAUCUAUCCUAGCAACCCUAGCUAAGUUGUGAACUCCAUAACGCCAUCAAUACUUGAACGUACUACAGUUCUGUCUUGUUUGGACUCCCGACUGAAUCAUGGUAGUUGUACAUUUUUUACUCAGUGCAUGUCACACACACCAUGAUUAUCUACUGAUUGUUAAGUGCUAGGUAUGUGUUGGCAAGAUAUCCAACUAGUUGGCUUGAUAUUGGGUACAUGCAGGGGAGUACUCCAAAGUCAACUAUAUAUCAUGAUGGGAUCAAGCAUACAUAAACAGGUAUUAUCAUGCAUGUUCGUAUGAUAGUGCAGUAUCAGCUCUGAGAUCAUGAAUGGCAAACUGGAGGGGCUAAUUUAUGAGUGCGUGUGCUUAUAAAUAGGGUCUCUAGCUAGCUAGUACUCACAUCAACACAAGCACGAGAAAACACUUCCAUUUUUCUAGAUAGAGCUUUGAGCCGCAACAUCCGCCUUCCGCUCUUGCAAUGGCUUCCAGCUCCGUGCUUAAGAUGGCCGCCAUUUUCGUGCUGGCCGUAUUCGCCCGCCAGGCACUGAUGGCUACGCCGGCGAUGGCAGAAGGACUAGGUUACCGACACAACCUUUUGGAGAAGUAUGAUGAGACGCAAUGUCGCGGAUACGCCACAUGCAAUAUUGUAUGCUUCUACCAAGUUUUUCAAGUCUGCAUCAUCUACAGCCCUGUUGCAUUCUGCAACACUUGGGCGUUUGGGUUCUGCAAGGACAAGAGAUACUGAGGCAUAAAUAGCAGUGCAGCUCCUUUUGGGAUGCAUGCACAACUACACGAGCAACUCACCUCAUCAGUGUCAACUAUUAUUGUUCCUUCGUUAUUGGCGCUGUGCGUUGUAAGAGUCCUAAUAUGUUCCUCCCUUUAUUUCCAACUAUCAUGUAUCAGUGGCUUAACCAACUAUUUAAUUCCUAUAUUGUCUGUCAUCAUGGUACUUGUUCAACUAAAAAUCCCCCGUCGAAUACAAAUGUAUGUGUCGUGUGAUUAUAAAAUGGUUCCGCCACUGCAACAUUUUUCAGUC
rnacentral:lncRNA from 1 species